rnacentral:lncRNA from 1 species
GUAGAUAAAGGUGCUGGGGAAUCACUGAAGAGGUUGGGACUGAGCUCCUAAACCUACAUUAAGAAAAAAUGCAGAACACAGAUAAAUAUGUGGAUAAGUAUUUUGGGAAUGUAUUGAGCAUAUGGGAGUGUAUGCAAUUAAAUAAUCAAUAUCACAAGUAUUUAUAGAAAACAUGCAUGCUAUAAUAGAUGACUCACAUAGCUUGAAUAAAAUUCUCAUAAAAUGCAGAUGGAAACAAAUAAUGUAAAUCACGUGAGUUAUUUCACUUUAUUCUAAAUCUGCAUUAUUUCUUUGUUCUAAAACUUGUAGACUUAGACUAAAUCUUAAGAAAGUACCUUCUUUAAGACUCAAACAUCAUGAUUUCUUGAAAAUCUUAGAAAUCUUAGAAUCAUAACUUUCAAAAUACUUAUACUUUCAAAACUCAUGCUUUUGUCUUAAAGAGAAUAGGACUUUGGGACUUCAUAACUUUAGGAUUAGGAGUUUCUUCUAACCGACAUAAACCAUGUAAGCUACAUGGAGUCCAACGUCUUGCCCACGUUGGGGAGAGCAGUUCUAUCCUUGCCAUCGGAGUAGAACUUUUACUUCUUCGUGAUCACUAUCUUAACCCACUUGGGGUAAUUCAGAAACUUACGGAGGCACGUAGUUUUGGGGCAUGAGACCUCAAAAUCAAGACCAACUCGAUGCUAAAUAAUACUCCCUUACUUAGCUCAUAAAUUUAAGAAAAUUCACCUUAAACAUUUCAACAAUAUGUAAUGGGAGCCAAUAUGCAUCCCCUUUAUCUCAAAUAAAAAGGAUGUGGAAUUCUUUCUUAGCUUAAGAUCAAAACUCAAUUCUUUCUUGAAAUCUUGAUAGGCUUAUCAUCAAAGCUUUAAAAAUCUCAACAACAUGGAAAUAUAAGCACACUUCUUGUAAUACUUUAAAGGACAUCAAUAAUUCAUUCUCAAAACUUCACAAAAUCACAAUAGGGCUCAAUUCUUAACAACAAAUCUUGGAAAUUCUUGAAAACAUGAUAUUCAUACGGGAAUAUGCAAUUUAUAAUAUGAAUUCUCAAUUCAAAUCAUACUUAAAAUAGGAAAUCAUGCAAUUCAAGACUUGGACAAUUCUAUAAUCCCAUAAACUUGAAAUAUUGCAAAAUAAUGUGAAUUCAUCUUGAAUGUACUAAAUUCUUUACAAAAACAAAAGUUUUUGGGCACAAGAACGAAAUAGUGUUCUUGUUCAAACCCCACAUACCUUGUAAUUGAAGCUUUUGGGUGAACUCUUAACCUUAGGUUACGAAACGUGCAAUUAGUAGGUGCUUCUUAAGAUAUUUGAGUUUUUAGGUUGAAACCCUAAUGGAAGUUAUUGUGAAAUUUUGUUGAAAAUACUCUUAUUUUGGUGUCCUUGGAAUUUAAUCGUGUGUUAAAAAGGAUAGAGGGGUUGAAAUUACCUAAUUUAUCCUCAAUGACUCGGAAGAGAAGUGCAGAAAUUGGCCUAGUACGAUACCCAGGGCGGUGCCCUGCCUGCACACUGGAGUUUCUAGGGCGACGCCUUGGCUAGAGCGGUGGUAACACCAGGGCGGUGCCCCGCUUAGAGCGGGGGAGUACCCCAAGAGAUGCCCCACUAUUGCUUUUUGCUAUUGUUUUGCCAACCUAAACACGAAAUUAAGCUUGUCUAAAAAUUCAAAAUUCUCCCGAGACGUACUUGACUUUCCCUAUCGCAACGCAACAAAAAAUCAUGAAACGGAGGUCAGGAUGGUCGUGAAAUAAUUCAACGAAGAUUGAAGGUUCAAAAAUUAAACUAAGUGUUCGAACACUUAGCAAAAUUCUAAGUGUUGAGCUUCUUUUAACUUGUUUCGAAGGCUAUAUCGAUGAGGAAACUUUGCAGGGUCUUACAAUAUCUCCCACUUGGGAACAUUUGAGGAAGAAUGUCGCUAAAUAUGUCAAGAACAUAGAGAAAAUGAAGGAUACACAGUUGAAACACUCAGCUAAACUGACUUUACAUCACUCUAAACUGUUGGAUACUUCAAAGAACAUAUAAACUUCAAAGAACAUAUAGACUUAUUAUAAGAAUGGUUAUACAGCUGCAACUUUAUUAAAAACGGACUAAAUUAAGAAAGAAUGACACCUUCGUCUUGAUCUGAACUCACGAAAAAGAGGUGCGGGUCCUUGGCUCGUAUAUCAGUCUCGACCUCCCAAGUAGCACCCUCAACAGAUUGGUUCCGCCACAAAAUUUUUACCAAGGGAACUUCUUUGUUCCUUAUUCUUUGGACUUAGUAAUCUAGGAUUUCAACCAGAACCUCUUCAAAUGAAAGACUAUCCCGAACAUCAGGGCUUUCCGAAGGAUCUAUAACAAUAGAAUCACCUAUGCAGUUCUUAAACAUGGAGACAUGAAAGAUAGAAUGAAAUGCUAACAACUCUGUAGGCAACUCAACUUCAUAAGCUACUCUCCUAACACGACUUAGGAUCCUAUAAGGACAAACAUAUCAAGUUUUAAGCUUUCCCUUUUUCCCAAACCUUUUCACCUCUUUCAUGGGUGAAAUUUUCAGAUACACCAGAUCAUUAACUUUGAACUCAAGUCUUUACGUCUCGUCUCAGCAUAUGACUUUUGGCGAAUCUGAGCCGUCUUCAACAUCUCUCUAAUUAACUUUACCUUCUCCAUUGCCUCAAACACUGCGUCAGGGUAGCUUCACCCACUUCAAACCAACCUAUUGGUGAUCUACACCUACUACCAUAUAAAGCUUCAAACGGUGCCAUAUGGAUGCUAGAGUGAUAACUAUUGUUAUAGGCAAACUCAAUCAGUGAAAAGUGCUCAUCCCAACUACCUUUGAAAUCAAGAGCAUAUGCUCUCAACAUAUCCUCCAAGGUCUGGAUGGUUCUCUUAGCGUGACCAUCUAUCUGCGGAUGAAAAGCGAAAAUCAAAUUCACUUGGGUACCAAGACCCCUCUGAAAAGAUCUCCAAAACUGAGAAGUAAAUUAAGUCCCCCUAUCCAAAAUAAUAGACACAGGAACUUCAUAGAUCCUUACUAUCUCCUGAAUAUACAAUCUAGCAUAGUCCUCAGCUGUAUAGGAUGCAUGCACAGAUAAGAAAUGCGCCGAUUUAGUCAGCCUAUAAAAAAUGACCCCAAUAAAAUCAUGGUGGCAUCAGGAAAGAGGUAAACUAAUCACAAAAUCCAUAUUCACCUCUUCCCACUUCCAAGUGGGUAAACUAAACUCUUGCAUCAUGCCACCAGGUCUCUGGUGCUCUACCUUAACCUGCUGACAUGUUGCACACUUUUCCACGAACACUGCUAUAUCUUUCUUCAUACCACUCCACCAAUAAAUUUUCCACAAGCCGCGGUACAUCUUGGUAGUGCCAGGAUGAAUGGAAUAUCACAUGCCAUACACUUUAUCUAUAAUUUUCUAACCCAGAUUAUCAACAUUAGGAACACACAGUCUACCUUACAACCUCAACAUAUCAUCUCUCCUUUGGGAGAAAACCUCUACUUUCUGGUCCUUGAUUGACUCCGUCAGUAUGACCAAACUAGCAUCUCAGUCUUGCUUCUCCUUCACUUCCAAAAUGAAGGAGGAUUUGGAACUACUUUGCACUAACAUACUCCCCUCAAUAGAAUAAAGCAGCCUAACACCCAACCUAGCCAAACGAUGCACAUCACGAGCUAACUCUUUCUUACCUCUCUUCAGAUGUGAAACACUACCCAUAUACAAACUGCUAAGGGCAUCUUCCACUACAUUAUCCAUGCUUGGAUGAUACAACAUGCCCAUAUCAUAGUCUUUUAACAAUUCUAACCACCCCAUCUGCCUAAGAUUCAACUCUUUCUAAAUCAACACAUAAUGCAGGCUUUUAUGAUCAGUAAAAACAUCUACAUGCACACCAUACAAACAAUGUCUCCAAAUCUUCAGGUUAAACACCACAGCAGCUAACUCAAGAUCAUGGGUUGGGCAAUUCUUCUUAUGAGGUUUCAACAAUAUAGAGGCAUAGGCUAUAACUUUACCCCUCUGUAUCAACACAUAACCCAAAAACAACUUUAGAAGUGUCACAAUACACCAUAAAACCAUCUACACCAUCAGGCAAAGUCAACAUAGGAGUUGAAGUGAGUCAAGUCUUCAACUUCUGAAAACUCUUAGGAAUCUAAUCAAAGGAACUUAACUUUAUUUUGGGUCAAUCGAGUCAUGGGAGAUGCUAUAGAAGAGAAACCUUUGACGAAGCGGUGAUAAUAGCCAGCUAGACCCAAGAAACUCCUAAUAUCAGACGGAGAGAUAGGUCUAGGCCAAUUUCUUACAGCUUCUAUCUUUUGGGGAUCAACUCUAAUACCUUCAGCUGAAAUAAUAUGACCCAAAAAAGCAACUAACCUUAGCCAAAAUUUGUACUUACUAAAUUUAGUGAAAAAUUGGUGAUCUCUAAGAGUUUGUAAGAUAUUUCUAAGAUAAUCAGCAUGGUCAUCCUUACUUUGGGAAUACACAAGAAUAUCAUCUAUGAAAACAAUGAAAAACAUAUUUAGAUACUGCUUGAACACUUAAUUCAUGAGGUCCAUGAAGGCUGUUGGAGCAUUGGUAAGCCCGAAAGUCAUAACAAGAAACUUAAAAUGACCAUAAUGGGUUCUAAAGGUUGUCUUCAACAUGUCACACUCCCUUAACUUGAGUUGGUGAUAGCCGAAUCUAAGGUCUAUCUUGGAGAAAUAACUUGCACCUUAGAUUUGGUAAAAUAAAUCAUCAAUUCUAGGAAGAGGGUACUUGUUCUUGACUGUGACUUUAUUAAGCUGGCGAUAGUCAAUGCAUAUACGCAAAGAACUAUUUUUUUCUGCAUGAAUAGAAAAGGUGUCCACCAAAGAGAUACGUUGGGCCUUAUAAAACCUUUGUCUAAAAGAUCUUUGAGUUGUUCUUUCAACUCCUUAAGCUUCGUGGGUGCCAUACGAUAAGGAGGAACAGAAAUAGGCUGAUGUCGAAAAGAAGAUCAAUCCCGAAUUCUAUCUCUCUAUCAGGAUGUACUCCUGGGAGAUCUUUUAGAAAAACAUCAAGAAAUUCAUUAACAAUAUUGACUGACUAGAUACUUGGAGUCUCAGACUUAGUAUCUUUAACUCUGACUAAGUGAUAAACGCAAUCUUUGGAUAUAAGCUUCCUUGCUUUUAGAUAUGAGAUAAAAUGACUCUUGGAAGAUACUGAACUUCCAAACCACUCAAAAAUUGGUUCAUCAAGAAACUAAAAUUUGACUGCAUGGGUACGACAGUCUACAGAUGCAUAGCAAGAGUGAAGCCACUCCAUACCCAAAAGAAUAUCAAAAUCAACCAUCUCUAACUCUAUUAAAUCAACAAGUAUGACUCUAUGGAGAAUAGUAAUAGGACAAUCCUUAUACACUUGCUUAGAAACAACAGACUCCCCUACUGAAGUAGAAACUAGAAUAGGCUCAGAGAUAUUUUUGUGACUCUUCUCAAAAUUUGCAGCCACUAAUAGGGUUACAUAAGAAAGCUUGACCUAGGGUCCAACCAUACAUAAACAUCAAAGUGAAAUACAUGGAGCAUACCAAUAAUGACGUCAGGAUAAUCCUCUUGCUCAUGAUAGAAAGAUAAGGCAUAAAAUCUAUUUUGGUGCUGACCGCCAGCAGUGCUAGAAGAAGCACCCUGUGGAGGAGCUGGUGCACUAGUGGCCUGUGCCUGGGGUUGGGGAUCUCUGGUUUUCUGCCUAGCAUGUGGGCCUAUGGCCCAUCUUUCCAUAACCAAAACAACCUCUUUUCUCAACCAAAAACUCACCCAAAUGGAUCCUGCCAUACUUAGCACAAGGAGGAAAAUUAGGCUUGUUACUCAUGCUCUGCUGAGACCUGGACGUAGAAGUCUUGUUUCUUUGCUCCUUCCUACCUAUGGGUGCUGGAGCACUAGAGGAUGAAGGUGCUGGCAUGGAUGAACAACUCUAGAACUAAGGGAGAUUCCCUCCAUGGGACCUAGCCUGACUAUACUCAUGUUGUUUGGUUCUAGCUAUCUUGUUUCCCAUUAUGCUAUCUCUUUCACUUAUCUUAUCCACUUAUAUCUAUUGUGAAUAUAUCAUCAACCUAGGCGUUCUUCACUCUUUCAAUACCAAGCCAAAAACACCUAUCAUGAACUUGCUCAUGAUAGAGUGGGUGUCAGAAAUCAAGUCAAGAGCAUAUUUGGCUUACUAAUUGAACUUCAAGCAGUACUCCUUAACAGUCAUGGAGCCUUACGAAUUCACCUGCAUUAGACCCAUAAAACUCUUGCAGAUUCAUCCAUAUUAAAUCACGGAUCUUGACAGUAGCUAAAUUAUCCCUUACUGCUGUGGAGCUGUGGCCUAGUUAGCCUAGAUGUUCGCAGUAAUUGCUUGGGCUAGCACCUGGAAAGCUGCUCAAAACUUGGCAUAGGACACAUUUUCAUUCAAGGGAUCAACAGGUUGAGGUUGCUGAUCAUUAUUACUUCUACGGGCUCGACAAGAAGGCAUUUUCUUAAAUAAAAGAGCAUGAAUUAAUAGCUAAGAGAGACAACUUUAAUCAUGAUAGACUCUAAAAGAAAGAAAUGACUUUUCCUAAAAUGUUUCGUAGCCUUUUGCUCAUAGAUGUGGUACGCUACACACUAAUGAUCAAGACUCUACUUAACAUGUCUUUUCAGACUCCCUAGGGCUUCUUAAACCUUAGGCUCUGAUACCGAGUUUGUUACACCCCAAAAUUGGGUCCCGAGAUGUCACACGGUGCUUAAGGCUAUGAGUAGCCCCAAGAUAACCCUUUGAGCCUACAACUUCAUUUAAUAAAUUACUUAGAGAUGAAAUUCAUAAAAUACUAAUACUUUCAAAUGAGAUAAUAAGGAAUAUGAAUAAAAUAUUCUAUUCGAAUAGUCAAAUUACUGGAAAUCUCAACAUACUACCGGUAACUAGUCUAACAAUGCCUUCACUACUCAAGAACUAGAGAGCCAUUGGGACAGGUCCCCAAAAGACUCAUACUCAACUGAUAAAGGAUGAACAAUAACUAAAUAAACUAAAUGUCUAAAGAUAAAUGGUCCCCGAAUCAUGAGGACUCACCACUGCUGAUAUGUAGAUAAAAGUGCUUGCAAAUCACUAACGAGGCUGGGACUGAGCACUUGAACCUACAUUAUAAGAAAAUGUAGCACACAAACAAAUAUAUGGAUUAGUACUUUAGGGAUGUACUCAGCAUAUGGGGGUGUAUGCAAUUAAAUAAUCAAUAUCACAAGUAUUUAUAGAAAACAUGCAUGCUAUAAUAGAUGACUCACAUAGCUUGAAUAAAAUUCUCACAAAUUCCAGAUGGAAACAAAUAAUGUAAAUCACGUGAGUCAUUUCACUUUAUUCUUCUACAUUUUUUCUUUGUUCUAAAACUUGUAGACUUAGACGAGAUCUUAAGAAAGUACCUUCAUUAAGACUCAAACAUCAUGAUUGCUUGAAAAUCUUAGAAAUCUUAGAAUCUUAGCUUUCAAAAUACUUAUACUUUCAAAACUCAUGCUUUUGUCUUAAAGAUAAUAGGACUUUGGGACUUCAUAACUUUAAGAUUGGGAGUUUCUUAUAACCGACAUAAACCAUGUGAUCUACAUGGAAUUCAACGUCUUGCCCAUGUUGAGGAGAGUUGUUCUAUCCUUGCCAUUGAAGCGGAACCUUAACUUCUUAGUGAUCACUAGCUUAACCCACUUGGGGUAAUUCAAGAACUUAAAGGGGCACGUAGUUCUAGGGCAUGAGACCUCAAAAUCAAGCCCAAAUCGGUGCUAAAUACUACUCCCUUACUUAGUUCACAAAUUUAAGAACAUUCACCUCAAAUAUUUCAAUAAUAUGUAAUGGGAGCCAAUAUGCAUCCCCUCUAUCUCAAAUAAAAAGGAUGUGGACCUUUUUCUUAGCUUAGGAUCAAAACUCAAUUUUUUCUUGAAAUCUUGAUAGGUUUAUCAUCAAAGCUUUAAAAAUCUCAACAACAUGGAAAUAUAAGCACACUUCUUGUAAUACUUUAAAGGACAUAAAUAAUUCAUUCUCUUCACAAAAUCAUAAUAGGGCUCAAUUCUUGACAACAAAGCUUAGAAAUUCUUGAAAACAUGAUAUCAAUACAGGAAUAUGCACUUUAUAAUAUGAAUUCUCAAUUCAAAUCUUAUUUAAAAUAGAAAAUCAUGCAAUUCAAGACUUGGACAAUUCUAUAAUCCCAUAAACUUGAAACAUAGCAAAAUAAUGUGAAUUCAUCUUGAAUGUACUAAAUUCUUUAAAAAAAUAAAAGCUUUUGGGCACAAGAACGAAAGAGAGUUUUUGGGCACAAGAACGAAAUAGUGUUCUUGUUCAAACCAUACAUACCUUGUAAUUGAAGCUUUUGGGUGAACUCCUAACCUUAGGUUGCGAAUCGUUCAAUUAGUAGGUGCAUCUUGUAGCCCUCGAAAAGGAGAAUCUAAAUAUCAAAGAAUUAACAAAAAGCUACGAUUGAAUCUUAAGAUAUUUGAGUUUUUAGGUUAAAACCUAUAAGACCCCGUAAAAUCUUGAGUCUAAAAUUCAGUUCAUUAAGCUUUAAAAGAUCCAAGACUUAGAAAACUUUGCUAAGUGAUCAACACUUAGUCUCAUUUUAGACCUCCGAACUUUGGAGAUUUAUUAGAAGUCCUUCCCGACCUCCAAUUAUAGAUUUUCAAGUUACGUUGUGAUAGGGCAAGGUCAUAGUACAUCCCGGGUGAGUUUUGGAAUUUAUGGAAUACAUUUAGGGCUCAUUUUGAUGUUAAAACAGUGGCUCGAGGCGAUAGUAGGGCGCUGCCCAGGCUUCAGCACCGCUCUAAGCGGGGCACCGCCUUGGGUACCUCGGCGCUCUAAGUAGGGCGACGCCCUAGAAGUCCGGUGGGUGCCCAAUUUUUAGCAUUCUCAUUUUGAUAUUUGAGGGAUAUUUUGGUCAAUUCCCCACCCCUAUAUAAAUCAAAAACAUGAGAUUUAUGCUCAUUUACACCAAAUUAUACUACUUUUCAUCAAAUUCUCUCAAGAACUAGGGAAAGGGUUUCAAUUUGAAGACCCAAAUCCAAGAACUCUCACCGCUUAUUUUCAUGUAUUUUCACUCUAAGUUAUACGAUGUGUUGAUCAUGGACUCUUUUUAUACAUGAAGCUUAAGAACCUUAUUUUAAACUAUAUAUCAUGGUAUUCAUGUUGUGAUUUGAUUACUGAUCAUGUUUAUGAGUUGAAUGACUUCAAGAUGAAAUAUUUAUAUGUUUGUAUGAAACUAGGAUGACAUAUUAGUUGAAAUAUAUGAAUUUUAGGUGGUUUGAAUUGCUAAAUUGAUGAACAAACCUAUGCCAUAAAGUGUGCAUGAAAGGUGUUUGAUAAUAUGCCUAGGAGCCUAGAAAUCAAAUUUUCAUUACUCAAUAGUAAUUAAAUGACAAGUCCAUGCUAACCCUUAUGUUUUAACAUGAAUUCCAUGCUAUUGUUGUGUAGUUGUUGUUGUGAUAUGAAGCGUUCAUAAUAUUGGAGUUAUGAAAGUAUGUACAUGUUAUAUGCAUUCCCUACCAUGUAUAAGAUGUUGAGAACUAUGUGUAGUAUAGAAUUCCUUACUUAUGGUGUUAUGAAUUGUGAACUUUGUUCCUAUGAUCAAGAAGUGUCAUGUGGUGUCAGUUUUCUUUCAUCGAGUCUUGGAGGUACUUGUACCUGAAAAAUAUAGUUGUGUUCCUAGAUCAAAUUUCAUGUUUUCACGAUAUCCUCAGUCAAGCCAUAUUUGAUAUAAUUCAGUUAGUCAUGUUACUUAGGAAAACUCAGAAUCUCAUGAACUCAGUCAGUUACUGGAUAUCAGUAGUAUUCCAUCAGUUAACAGAAUUCAGUAAACUCAUUCAUGCUCAGUUCAGUUUAAUCAGUUCAGUGUCUAUUCAGAUGUGAGUAGGAGUUAGAACCGAGUGAACCCAAGGAUGGAAACUUACCUUCCAGUAGAGGUGUGAUUCCUAGAAUCAAUCCUUGCAUUCCAGAACUACGUAGCCAGCGUAGGUUGAGACAUCAUACCUGCUAGUUGAGGGUAGAUAAGGUGGCUUACCUACAAGUUAAGGUUCCACCAUUCUCACUUGAGUACCUAUAAGUCGAGGGUUCUCACAGUCUAUCCUUACCAGUGACACAGUAUUGACACCUUCCAAUCAGGGCAAGGAUUGGACCCCAACUUAACUAUAUUAUCAUACAUGGGGUAUGCUGGUUAGAUGACUACUUCCCACAGUCUUAGUCUCAGUAUCAGUCUCAAUAAAGAGCUCAGAUAGUUCUUCAGAUUUCAGGACUGUCAAAUACAGUCAACUCAGAAAUAGUACAGAACUCAGCUAGUUCUCUCAGAUUUAGGACUGUCAGAUAAAGUCACCCAUGUUAUCAGUUAUAUAGUUAUCAAAAUUUAUUUUUUAGUCAUGUUAGAUAUCAGUGAACUUAUGUUAUCGGUAUACAGAUUCAGUCAUCAUGUUUUUGCAAUCCCAAUUUCAAUGUAUUCAUGUAUGCAUUCUCAUGUUCAUAUUAGUCAGUCAGCUAGUAUUAUUCAUUCAUAUGAACCUUAUGCAUUUAGCCUACCUCACACGCAUACUCAGUACAUUUAAAUAUACUGAUGCAUUUGUGCUAUGGUAUUUUUUUUAUAUUGCACAAUAGGUUCAGACACACGAGUUUCAGACGAACAGUAGCUGUAGCAUCCCAGUACUCAGAGAAACAGUGAGUCCUUAUACUUCGGGGACAUGAUCACCACUUUAUAUUAUUAUUUAUUUCAGUUUAGUUUUGCUAGAUGGAUUUAGUUGGAGACAUGUUUCUUUAACUUCUAUUUUAGUCAGUACUUAGAGGCUUUCAAAUUUGAUUCAGACUUUAGUUGUUUUUAGUUGUUUUGGGUAUUCGAUACCCCACACAGAUGUUAUGAUUUAUCAGUUUUAUUUUUGACAUUGAACCUUGUGGCCUUCAGUCUUUAUUCUCAUAUUAUAUAUAGUAUGUUAUGCAGUAUAUAGGUACAGAUAUCAGUCAUGGGUUAGCUGGUGGUCCUUCAGGAUUGCUAGAACCAUGUAGCAUUUAGAUUCAGAAAAUUGAGGCGUUACAAACUUGGUAUCAAAGCCAGGUUCAAUAGUGUCCUAGAAAGUCUGAAAGCCACAUCUAGUAGAGUCUUGUACAUAGGUGUAUUGUGCGCUAUAUUUAUAUACAGGAGGCUAUGAGAUAGAUUAGGAAUAGUUUCCUUUCUUUCAGUACUCAUAUUAUGCCAGUGAGCAUAAUCUCAACUUAAUCUCUCAGUCUAAUUCGUUUCUCCUCUUGAUUUCAUAACAUACCUCCAAGAAUAAGAAACUAGCCAACUCCUCAGCCCAAAGAUCCUUUGGGAGAACAUGUUUCUCAUGCGAAGUUCAGAGCCGAAUUCACCACUCUUGCUCAGUUAAUUGCUACCUAAAAUGAAUAAACAGCUGUCAUUCUGACCAACCUAGUGGCCAAUUCAACUGCAGCCAAGAUUCAAGACUUCACCCAAAUGUUCUCCAUCUUUCUUCGAGUCUAAGCUCCAUCCUUCUUCGAGUCUAAUACAUAUGAAAACCCUCAGGAAUUUCUUGACCAGAUUUAGAAGGUGACAGAUAUCAUGGGGGUGACUACUAUUGACAGUGCUAAGUUAGUCGUAUAUCAGUUGCAGGAUGUGGCUCAUACUUGGUACAAGCAGUAGAAGUCUGAAAGGUUAGAUGAUACAGGUCCUAUAGAGUGGGGGGAGUUUAUCACGGCAUUGUUAGAUAGAUUCUUUCCCCAAGAGCUGAGGGAGGUAAAGGUGCUAGAGUUUAUCAACCUCAGGUAGGGCAAUAUGAAGAAUAUUCUCUUAGGUUUACUCAAUUAGCCAGAUAUACCCCUCAUGUCGUUGCAGAUGGUAGAGCCAAGAUGAGUAAGUUCAUUUCAGGGGUUAAUACAUGGUAAAUAAGUGCAGAUCCUCUAUGCUGAAUAGUGGCAUGACUUUAGCCAGACUUAUGCCUCAUGCCCAGCAGAUAGAGAAGCAGAAGGUUAAGAGGAGGGAAAAGUAGAAUAAGAGAGCAAGGUUAGGUAGUUUAAACUUUGCUCAGCCUAAGUCAGAGGGAGGAAACUAUUCUCAGUUUAGCUCCAAGUCAUCAGUUCCAGCUCCUUUCUUCGCUAGUUUCCCAGUACCAAAAUUUAGAUACGGUAACAGAGAUAGAUCACCAGGAUCUAAGUCUCAGGGUAGUGUUGGCAAUGCCUGCUCCUAUACUUGUUGUCAUACUUAUGGAAAGAACCAUCAGGGUACUUGUAGAGCUGGCAGAGAUACUUAUUUUGAAUGUGGCAAGCCAGGCCACAUGGUUAGAGAUUGUCUGCAGUCAGGUCUGCAGGGUUAUCAGAACUGUUCCUCAGUUUAGUUUGGUUAUCCAAAUCAGCAGGGUUCCACCUCCAGUGCUACUAAUAGGCAACGUCCAAAUCAAAUUUAUGCUCUCCAGUCCUGGCAAGAUUAGGAAAAUUCUCCUAAUGUAGUUACUGGUACAUUAUAGAUCUUCCAUGUGCAUGUUUACGCUUUGCUAGAUCCAUGUGCUUCUUUGUCCUUUGUUACUCCCUUUAUAGCAGGUAAUUUUGGAAUUAGUCCUGAAAUUCUAGCAGAUCCCUUCUCAGUAUCUACCCCAAUGGAUAAAACCAUCAUAGCCCAGCAAGUAUAUGAAAACUACCUGAUUAUGAUAUUUCAAAAAGUUACUUCAGCAAAUUUGGUCGAGUUUGAGAUUACUGAUUUUGAAGUCAUUCUAUGUAUGGAUUGUCUUCAUUCCUGCUUUGCCACAGUUGACUAAAAAAAUAGGGUAAUUCAGUUUUGGUUUUCGAAUGAUCUCAUCUUAGGGUAGAGGGGGAGUACUUUAUCUUUCAGAGUUCAUCUUAUUUUCUACCUUCGGGUAAGUAAAAUGAUAUCUAAGGGAUGUGUUUACCAUCUCAUUCAUGUUAAGGAAUCUAGUUUUGAAACUCCCAAUCUUGAGUCCAUCCCAGUUUUUAAUGAGUAUUCAGAUAUUAUCCCGAAGAUCUUCAAAGCAUUCCUCCCAAAAGGGAAAUAGACUUUGGCAUUGAUCUUCUUCCAAACACUUAGCCUAUUUCGAUUUUGCCAUAUCGAAUGGCACCAGCAAAGCAUAAAGAACUGAAAGAAUAGUUGAAGUAAAUUUAGAUAAGGGAUUCAUCAGACCCAGCAUUUCCCCGUGGGGCACACCAGUCUUAAUCAUACACAAGAAAGAUGGUUCUCUCAGGAUGUGCAUAGAUUAUCGUCAGCUCAAUAAAGUUACGAUCAAGAACAGGUAUCCACUUUCCAGAAUUGAUGACCUAUUUGACUAAAUUUAGGGUGCUACUUAUUUCUCUAAGAUAGACACAGAUCAGGCUACCAUCAGCUCAGAGUUAGAGAAUGUGACAUUCUGAAGAUAGCUUUCCACACUCGGUAUGGUAACUUCGAAUUCUUAGUCAUGUCCAUUGGUCUUACCAAUACCCCUGAAGCUUUUAUGAACUUGAUGAACUGUGUUUUCAAGAAGUAAUUGGACAUGUUCAUCAUAGUCUUUAUAGAUGAUAUUCUUGUCUAUUCCCGCACUGAGCGCGAUCAUGCAAACCAUCUCAAAACAGUACUUUAGACUCUCAAAAACUAUCAGUUAUUCGCCAAAUUCAGUAAGUGCAAAUUUUGGCUAGGGUCAAUAAAAUUCCUUGGCCAUAUCAUUUUUGGUGAUGGCAUUAGAGUGUAUCCUCAAAAGACCAAAGCGAUAAGAAACUAGCCUCACCCUGUGUCUUCAUUAGAUAUCAGGAGUUUUUUAGGUUUGGCUGGCUAUUACAGGCAGUUUGUUGAGGGAUUUCCUUUUAUUUCAUCCCCUAUAUCCAAAUCGACUCAGAAAAAGGUCAAGUUUCAGUGGUUAAAUCCUUUUGAGAAGAGUUUUCAGGAAUUUAAGACUCGACUCACCUCAGCCCCAGUUCUAGCAUUACUAGAUAGUCCAGAUGGGUUCGUAGUAUAUUGUGAUGCAUCUAGAGUAGGUUUGGAUUGUGUCCUCAUGCAGCAUGGUAAGGUCAUAGCCUACGCCUCCAGACAGUUAUAUCACCAUGAGACGAAUUACCCUACUCAUGAUCUUGAGUUAGCAGCCGUAGUAUUUGCCUUAAAGACUUAGAGGCAUUAUCUCUAAAGAGUUCAUGUAGAUGUCUUUACCGAUCAUAAGAUCUCCAGUACGUCUUUUCUCAGAAAUAUCUCAAUCUUCGUCAGAGAAGGUGGUUAGAGCUUUUGAAGGAUUAUGACAUGAGUGUCCUUUAUAAUCCGAGCAAGGCCAAUGUAGUGGCCGACGCUCUCAAUAGACUAUCCAUGGGUAGUGUUGCUUAUUUUGAGGAUAGUAAGAAGAAUUUAGCUCAGGAAGUCCAUCGGCUUGUCAGACUAGGCAUUCGCUUAGUUGAUUCUUUAGAGGGUGGUAUAUGUGUUUAGAGUAGUUCAGAAUCAUCUCUAGUUUUUGAGGUAAAAGAAAAACAAGAUAGAGAUUCCGGACUUGUCAAGUUAAAAGAGUUAGUCAAAGAUCAGAAAGUAGAUGUUUUCUCCCAAGGGGGAUAUGGUGUUCUUCGUUUUUAGGGUCCUUUGUGUGUUCUAGGUGUAGAUUACUUGAGGCAGCGACUUCUUGUAGAAGCGCAUGGUGUGCGAUACUCUUUUCAUCCAGGGGCCACUAAGAUGUACCGUGACUUGCGGGAGAUCUAUUGGUGGAGUGGGAUAAAGAGGGAUGUUGCAGAGUUUGUGGCUAAGUGCUCUACAUGUCAGCAGGUUAAGAUAGAGCAUCAGAAGCCUAGUGGUUCCAUGAAGGAGUUCACUAUUCCUACUUGGAAGCAGGAAGAAGUGAACAUGGACUUGUGACAGUUUUGUCUCGAACCCGUCAUUAGUAUGAUUCAGUUUGGGUCAUUGUAGACAGAAUGACUAAGUCAACUCAUUUCCUUCCAGUUCAUACCUCUUAUUCAAUCGAGGAUUAUGCCAAACUCUACAUCAGAGAGAUGGUUAGAUUACAUGGUAUUUCGCCAUCUAUCAUCUCAGAAAGAGGUACCUAGUUCACCCAACUUUGGAAAAUGUUCCAAAAGGGUCUUGGUACCCAAGUUCAUCUCAGUAUAGACUUUACUCCUCAGAUAUAUGGUCAAGAAGAAAGGACCAUUCAAACUCUAAAAGAUAUGUUAAAGGUAUGUGCAAUUGAUUUCAAAUUAAGUUGGGAUGACCACUUGCCUUUGAUUGAGUUUGCUUACAAUAAUAACUAUCAUUACAGCAUUCAGAUGGCCCUAUUUAAAGCUCUCUAUGGUAGGAGAUGCAGAUCUUCAGUUGUUUAGUUCAAAAUUAGUGAGGCCUCAGCCAUAGGGCCUUAGUGUUUGAUGCCUUAGAAAAAUUCCAGUUGAUUAGAGAAAGACUCUGGGCUACUCAGAGCCGACAGAAGUCUUAUGUAGAUAUUCAUAGAAAGGAUCUCGAGUUAGAGAUUAGUGAUUAUGUCUAUCUCAAGAUCUCUCCCAUGAAGGGAGUAAAGAGAUUCGGCAAGAAGGGAAAGCUCAGUCCAUGAUAUGUCAGCCCCUUCAAGAAUCUCAGUCGUUUCGGUAAAGUAGCUUAUGAGCUCAAGUUGCCUUUAGAUCUAGCUUCAGUUCAUCCAGUCUUCCACGUAUCUUUUCUCAAGAAGUGCAUAGGUGACCUAGCAGUUGUAGUCCCUAUUCAGAGCAUAGAUGUCCAGAAUAGCCUCUGUUAUGAGGAAAUUCCUGUCGAAAUUCUUGACUAUUAGACUCGUAGACUGGGGAACAAAGAAGACCCUCUAGUUAAAGUUCUUUGGUGAAAUCAGUCAGUUGAGGGAGCUACUUGGGAAGCAGAGGCAGAUAUGUGAACCAAAUACCCUUACCUGUUCUCCUCCAACUCAGAUCAAGCUCAAGGUAACAGUUCUCCUUAAGUUUAUUCAGCUUCAUGUUUAGCAUUCCUUACCAAACUUGGUAUUCAGUAUCAUGCUCAUGUUCCAAUUAUAAACUUGGUAUCAAGUACCAUUGUACAUUCAUUCAUGCAUUUAUGUAUCAGUUUAUUUAUAUAAUCAUAAAUCAGAUAUGCAUUCUCAUUGUGAGACACUCAGUUUAUUAGAACACUCAGUCAUGCAUUCAUGAACCAAUUACACAUGCAUUAGAUAUGCAUGUUCAGUAUGAUAUAUUCUGUUUAUUAGUCACAUCAGUCAUGAGAUCAUGUUCCAAUCAUUUAUGUUUAGUUCAUGUUAAGUUUAUUCUUUCCCCUUCAGUCAGUCUCAUACGAAAAUGAAUAUUCCCAAGGGAGAGAUAUUGUAAGACCCCAUAAAAUCUUGAGUCUAAAAUUCAGUUCAUUAAUCCUUACAAGCUCCAAGACUUAGAAAAUUUUGCUAAGUGUUCAACACGUAGUCUCAUUUUAGACCUCCAAACUUCAAGGAUUUAUUUGACGUCCUUCCAGACCUCCAAUUGUAGAUUUUCAAGUUGCAUUGUGAUGGGAAAAGUCAUAGUAUAUCCCGGGUGAUUUUCGGAAUUUUUGGAAUCCGUGUAGGGAUCGUUUAGAUUUUGAAAUUGUAUCUCAAGGCAAUAACAGGGUGCCGCCCAGGCUUCAGCACCGCUCUAAGAUGGGCACCGACCUGGAAGUCCAGUAGGGGCCCAGUUUUCAGCAUUCUCAUUCCGACCUUUCAGGGGUAUUUUGGUCAAUCCCCCACCCCUAUAUAAGUCAAAACCACGGUAUUUAUUCUCAUUUACACCAAAAUAUACUAUUUUUAAUCAAUUUCUCUCAAGAAAUAGUGAAAGGGUUUCAAUUUGAAGACUCAAAUCCAAGAACUCUCACCGUUAAUUUUCAUGAAUUUUCCCUCUAAGGUAUGCGAUGUGUUGAUUCAUGGACUCCUUUCAUCCAUGAAUCUCAAGAACCUUAUUUUAAACUAUAUAUCAUGGUAUUCAUGUUGUUAUUUAAUUGUUGAUCAUGUUUAUGAGUUGAAUGACUUCAAGAUGAAAUCUUUAUAUGUUUGUAUGAAACUAGGAUGGCAUAUUAGUUGAAAUAUAUGAAUUUUGGGUGGUUUGAAUUGCUAAAUUGAUGAAUACACCUAUGCUAUAAAGUGUUCAUGCAAGUUGUUUGAUAAAAUGCCUAGGAUCCUAGAAAUCAAAUUUUCAUUACUCAAUAGUACUUAAAUGACAAGUCAUGCUAACCCUUAUGUUUCAACAUGAAUUCCAUGCUAUUAUUGUGUAGUUGUUGUUGUGAUAUGAAGCGUUCAUAAUAUUGGAGUUAUGCAAGUAUGUAUAUGUUAUAUGCAUUCCCUACCAUGUAUAAGAUGUUGAGGACUAUGUGUAGUAUGGAAUCACUUACUUAUGGUGUUAUGAAUUAUGAACUUUGUUCCUAUGAUCAAGAAGUGUCAUGUGGUAUCAGUUUUCUUCCAUCGAGUCCUGGGGGUACUUGUACCCGAAAAAUAUAGUUGUGUACCUAGAGCAAGUGUCAUGUUUCACGAUAUCCUCAGUCAAGCCAUGUUCCAUAAAAUUCUGUUAGUCAUGUGACUCAAGAAAUCUCAGAAAUCUCAUGAACUCAGUCAGUUACCAGAUAUUAGUAGUAUUUUAUCAAUCAAUAGAAUUCAGUAAACUCAGUCAUGCUCAGUUUAGUUUAAUCAGUUAAUUGUCUAUUAAUAUUUGAGUAAGAGUUAGAACUGAGUGAACCCAAGGGUGGGAGCUCACCUGCCAAUAAAGGGCGUGAUUCCUAGAAGCAAUCCUUACAUUCCAUAACUACGUAGCUAGUGUAGGUUGAAACAUUAUACCUAGUAGUUGAGGGUAGAUGAGGUGGCUUACCUGCUAGUUGAGGGUUCCCACCAUUCUUACUAGAGUACCUACCAGUCAAGGGUUAUCACAGCCUGUCCUUACCAGUGGCGUGGUAUUGACACCCUUCUAAUUAGGGCAAGUAUUGGAUCCCAGCUCAGCUAUAUUAGCAUACAUGGGGCAUGUCAGUUAGAUGACUAUUUUCCACAGUCUCAGUCUCAGUCUCAGUAAAAGAGUUUAGAUAGUUCUUUAGAUUUCAAGACUGUCAGAUACAGUCAAUUCAGAUACAGUAUAGAACUCAGCUAGUUCUAUCUGAUUCAGGACUAUCAAAUACAGUCAAAUUCAUUUAUCAGUUAUAUUAGAUAUCAGUGAACAUAUGUUAUCAGUAUACAGAUUUAGUUAUCAUGUUUUCAUGAUCCCAGUUGCUAUGUAUUCAUGUAUGCAUUCUCACAUUCAUAUUAGCGAGUCAGCUAGUAUUAUUCAUGCAUAUGAACCCGAUGCAUUCAGCCUACCUCAUAUGCAUACUCAGUACAUUCAAAUAUACUAACGCAUUUGCGCAAUGGUGUUUCUUUUUAUUUUACACCAUAGGUUCAGAGACACGAGUUCCAGACCAGCAUUAGCAGUAGAAUCUUAGUACUCAGAGUAGCAGUGAGUCCUCAUCCUUAGGAGACAUAAUCACCACUUUAUAUUAUUAUUUAUUUCAGUUCAGUUUUGCUAGAUGGAGUUAGUCGGAGACAUGUUCCUUCAACUUCUAAUUCAGACAGUACGUAGAGGCUUUCAGAUUUGAUUCAGACUUUAGUUGUUUUUAGUUAUUUUUGGUAUUUGAUACCCCACAUGGAUGUUAUGAUUUAUCAAUUUUAUUUUUGGCAUAGAACCUUAUGGCUUUCAGCCUUUAUUUCUGCUUUAUAUAUAGUAUGUUAUGUAGUGUACAGGUACAGAUAUCAGUCAUGGGUUAGCGGGUGGUCCUUUGGGGUUCCUAGCACCGUAUAGCAUUCCAAUUUAGAAAAUUGGGGCGUUCCAAAACCCUAAUAGAGGUUCUUGCAAAAUUUUGAUGAAAAUACUCUUAUUUUGGUGUCCUUAGGAUUGAAUCCCGUGUUAAAGAGGAUAGAGGGGUGGAAAUUAUCCAAUUUACCCUCAAUAACUUGAAGGAGGAGUGCAAAAAUUAGCCUGUUGCGGUACCCAGGGUGGCGCCCUUCCUAGCGCACAGGAGUUUCUAAGGCAACACCUUGGCUAGAGUGGUGGUAACACCAGGGCGUCACCCCGCUUAGAGUGGGGGAGUACCCCAGGCGACGCCCUACUAUCGCCUUUUUCUAUUAUUUUUCCAACCCAAACACGACCUUAAGCUCGUUUAGAAAUUCCAAAACUCAUCCGAGAUGUACUCUUGACUUUCCCCAUUGUAAUGCAACAAAAAAAUCAAGAAACGGAGAAUCGAGAAAGUCGUGAAAUAAUUCAACGAAGAUUGAAGGUUCAAAAAUAAACUAAGUGUUGGAACACUUAGCAAAAUUCUAAGUGUUGAGCUUCUUUUUACUUGUUUCGAAGGCUUUAUCAAUGAGGAAACUUUGUAGGGUCUUAUAGAGUAACAUCCUGUAAAUGAUAUUCAGCUAACUCAGUACUCUCACAAGUGGUAAACCCAUGAUAUUUGUAACCUUCUGCACCUGAUCUAGGAAUUCCUGAGGGUCCUCAUCUAACUUAGACCUGGAAAGGGAUAGAGGAUUUAUUAGGGUGAAGUUCCGAAUCCUAGCUGUUGCAGUGUUGGCCACUGGGUUGGCUGGAAUGACAAUUGGACAUUCAUUCUGGGCAAUAACUGAAUUAGCAAUUGUGGUGAAUGCAGCUCUAAACUUUUGAUGAGAGACAUAUUCAUCCAAGGGAUAUUCUUGGACAGCCUGAUUUCUUCUUUUGAGAGGCAUGUUUCAUAAAUAAAAGGGAGAAAUGACUUAGACUAAUAGUCAAACUUGAGCUCAUGCUCACUGGCAUGACAUGAAUACUGAAAGAAGAGAAACUAUUCCUAAAAUAUCUCAUAGCCUCCUGUACAUAAAUGUGGAAUGCAACACACCCAUGCAUAAGAUUCUACUAGAUAUGGCUUUUAAGACUUUCUAGGACACUAUUGAACCAGGCUCUGAUACCAAGUUUGUAAUGCUCUGAGCCUGGUGCCUCGGACGCUACACGGUGCUCAUUAUCUCGAAGGAUCACAAGCUAACCCAUGACUAAUAUUUGUAACAGAGCACUGAAUAAUAAUAGUAUUAACGUAAAUAUGGAAACAUAAACUGAAAGGUCAUAAGGUUCAAUACUGAUACAUAACUGAAAAUAUGGUAUAAUAAUAUCAAAAUUGAAAUAAACUAUCUGAACAUGCUAUAGUAUGAAAGCCUCUAAUACUAAACUAUCUGACUAAGGCGUUGAUAGGACAUGUCCCCAACUAACGCCGUCAAAUGAAAAGCAGUUUCUAAAAAAAAUAAUGAAAUAAUAGCAUCCUCUCAUUAUAAGGACUCACUGCUACAUCUACUGUUGCUGACUAAUCAUGAUCUGCUAAGCUCUAUUACAAGACUGAGCAACCAAACCUAUGGUAUAAAAAUCCUUACCGCAAGAGAAAAGUAUGUGUCAAUACAUGAGAAUAUACUGGUACGCAAAGUGAGGUAAGGCUGAAUGCAAGGGUUCAUAUGCAUAAACUAUAACUGACUGAAUAAUAUGAACAUGAUUGCAUAAGAAUACAUGCAUGAAAUCAUAACUGUAACUGAAAUUAUGAGGAUUCUGAGUACUGAGUCUACUGAUAACAUGGAUUACUGAUAACUAUUAUAACUGACACUGAUAUAACUAAAAAUAGAGUUGACUAUUUUUGAUAGCCCUGAUUCUUAUGGAACUAGCUGAGUUCCAUACUGAGAUGAGUGAUUGUAUCUAAUAGUCCUAAAUCUGAAGAACUAUCUAAGUUCCUUAUUGAGCUGAGUUAUUGUAUCUGACAGUCCUGAUUCUAUAACUAAAACUGUGAGAGAAUUUAUCUAACUGACAUGCCCCAAUUAAGAAUACUAAGUUCGGGUGAAAUAUGUAACCCCAAUUAAACGAGUGUCAAUACCGUUCCACUAGUAAGGAUAAGUUAUGGGUAACCCUCAUCUAACAGGUACUCUAAGGAGAAUAGUGGGACCCUCACCUAACCAGUUAAGCCACCUCAUCAACCCUUAUCUAGUAGGUUUGAUGUCUUCACGUACGUUGGCUACGUAUUUUUAGAGCACAAGGAUUGCUUCUAAGAAUCAUACAUUUUGCUCGCAGGUGAGUUCCCAUACUUGGGCUCACUCGAUGUUGAAUCCUACUCCCAUCUGAUUAGACACUGAACUAAUUAUGUUGAAUAGACUGGACUGAGUUCACUGAUUCUGUUGAUUGAUGGAGUACUACUAGAAUCUGUCUGACAUUUACUGAGAUUACUGAGAUAACUAAAUUUUUUUUCUUGAGUCACAUGACUAACUUAAUUCUAAAGAUCGUGGCUUGACUGAGAGUGUGUUGAAAACUAACACUGGCUCUAGGCACACAGCUAAAUUAUUGGGUAUAAGUACCCCCAGGACUUGAUAGCAUGAAACUGACAGUACAUGACACUCACUUGAACACAUGACCAUAAGCAAUAACUCAUAGUAUAAUCAUAGGGGAUUUUAUAAGUACUUUGAAGGUUACAAACUUGAACUUGAAUAAGAAGCCAUGCAACAUGUCAUAAUCUUCACAAUUUUCAUUCUCAUGAACAUUUCAUCAAACACUUGGAAUGCAUUAUCUUGUACAUAAAUAGGGGGCUUACUUAUUAACAUGCUAUUAUGGCACUAUUUCAUUCAAAUAGGUAUUUUGUCAAAAACGUGGGGAGCAUGCUUUGGUUAUACAAUCAUCAAUAAUUUUAUUCAUCAUGACUACGUUAAGAAAAUUGUAAAUUGAAGGGUUUAUUAUGAAUCAUCAUGCAAAUCAUCACAUAUACUAUUGAAAACAUACAUCAAAACCUAACAAUCACAUGAACAUGAAUUUCAAUUCAACUAAAUUAUUAACAUUCAUAAAUACAUUAUCUUUGUAUUUUGAAAAUGGAUUCUUGAGAAUUAUGGGUGAAAGGAACCCAUAAAUCAACACUUAACAUACCUUAGAACGUAGAUCCUUAAGGGUUCAUGGAGAAAUUCUUGAGCCUUGUUCUUGAAUUUUGAUGCUAGGGUUUUCUUACUUUUGAGAGAGAAUGAUGUAAUUGGGGAAAAUUUGAGUAAAUAAUGAUAUAUUUAGGUUAUAAGAGAAUUAAUUUCGUGUUUGGGGCUGAUAUGGGUCAUGGGAAAGGUAUAAGAUGCCCUUGGGAUUUAAAAUCCCAUAAUUGGAAUGUCGAUAGAAGCUUCACGACAAUGUGGUGGUUGGGUCAUCGUGAUAUCCACUGCAACGCGGGGUAAUUGCGGUGACUCACUAGUUCUUGACAAUUAUCAAGUUAAGCCUUACCGCAACACGAGGAAAUAGUGGUGAGAUACUGGAAUUGGACAAUUGCAAUUGUUUCCUUCAUCGCAACGUGAUGGUGGCCUCAUCGCGAUACUCACAGCGAUGAGGCCCUAUCGCGAUGAUCCACUAUUUCUGCAACCUUCACACGAUGCAAUCCUUGUCUGAAAAAUUAUGAAACUUAUCUGAAAUAUGCUAUCUUCAUUUCUAAAUAUGAAUCAAUUUGUAAAACAACUUUUUGAGGUUGGGAAGGUCAUAAAUACAUUCCCUAAAGUGCGAUGGGCUUAGAAAAGACUAAGUCCUAACACUUAACUAGAAAUUUUCUAACUUUGGGAACCCUCAACAAGAUUUAAAACUGAGUUAGGCUAAGGAUUAGCGGGGUCUUACAAAUAUAUAAAUUAAUAAUACUUGAUAGUAAAUUAGUAAUGUAUUAAAACUAAGCAUUUAAUUUAAACUAGAAGUUCAAUUUAAAUCAUUAAAUGGAAAAAAAUUACAAAGUAAGGACUAAGGAGUGAAUGAAUGUUAUAUUUUAUUGAUUACAACAUGAUUCAAAAUUUAUAAUGUACAUGAAUGAAAAAACUACAAAGUUCUCAUCAUUUUUUCAACUCAUCCAUGUUAACAUUAAUAGGAACUUGCAUAGGACAGUCAAAGUCAAUUGGGGAAAAACCAUGCAUUGGACUUGAUUGUGCGGAGUUCUCCCUCAAAGUCAUUAUUUUUUCAAGAUUCUGUUCGUCUUUCGGCUCCACUUUCAUUCCUUGAUUUCUUCGUUCCGCUCUAAACCAAUCUCUAAGGCACACUUAACAUGAAAUAUUUCAGGUAACGGCAGAGAGAGCUUAGCUUCUAACUUUGUAAUAGCAGUCUUGUUGUUAGAAGCAUUAUCAAAAGCAAUACAUAAGACUAUUUUUUUCAAUACCAUAAAAUUCUGCAACUUUAAUAAUCAAAUCAAUAAUAAAUUCUCUACUAUUUCUAUGUAAUACCCCGCAAAAUUCUCUCAUCAUUAAGGCUUUCAAAACGAAUCAAAAGAAGUCUUACACUUAGAAAUUUUGCUAAGUGCUCCAACACUUAGUUUAUUUUUAAGCCUUCAACUUUGAAGAAUUAAUUUAGGACAUUCCUAGCAUCCAUUUUUUGAUUUUCAAGUUGCGUUGCAAUGGGUUAAGUCAAUAGUACAUCUCGGGUGAGUUUCAAAAUUUUUGGACCUCGUUUAGGGCGUGUUUAGUUUCCAAACCAGUAUCACCAUGCGAUUUGCAUGCGUCGCAUGGUGCAUCGCAUCCCUGACACCAUGCAAUGGAGCAUGUGAUACAUGCUCCAGUCCGUUGGGGUAGAGCAUGUGUCGUAUGCUCUGCUACGCGUGCCUGGAAAGUUUCAGUUUUUCUUCCAUCUUUGUAGGGGCAAAAUGGGUAUUUUCCAUUCCCAACUAUGCAUUAACACGGGAUUUUAAUCCCAAUGGACCAAAAUAUGGUCCUUAUCCUCUAAUUUUUCAAGAAAAACACCCCUUAGACUCAAAAUAAAAAUCAAGAUCUAUCAAAAUUCACCCGUUAAAUUUCAAAAGUAAUUCCAAAAUUGGAAUCCCCAGAUCGAGAUCUUCAAGAAGCACCUAUCAAUUUUAAGAAUAGAGUUUCGAAAAUAAAAGUUCAUCCAAAUUCAUAAAUUUGAGGUAUGUAGGGUUUGAACAAGAACAAUCCUUCUAUUCUUGUGCCCUAAAUUUAAUUUAUUUUAAGAUCUUAUGAUUUACGGAUAAAGUUAUGUCCAAAUUAUCUUGUUUGAGGAUUUUGAGUUUAUGAGUUAUUCAAGUUGUGAAUUUCUUGAUAUCUCUAUCUAUUAUGUUUUGAAUUGAGAGUUUAUAUUGUGAGUUUCACCCUUUCUUUAUUAUUAAUAUUGUUGAAUAAUUUCAAGAAUGAUAGUGAGUAUGAAUUAUUAUUUUGAAUUGACAUGAAUCAAGUAUUGAAUUUUUAACCCAAAGAUUUAGUAUUUAGAUUUUGAGACUAUAUUCUCGGAAGCUUUGAACUAUUAUAUUCAUACAAAGAAUGAUUUUGAAUUUUCAUGAUGUCAUGAUCUUAAUCUUUCCUCUAGUGGAUUAUUUACCAAGAUUUGAGUCAAGAUUGAUGUUUGGAUAAGGAGUUAAAAUAGAAGUCCACAAAUUUUGUAUGAUUUAAACUAACAGAAAUAUGACUUGGUCUUCAUUAUAGACCCUUGAGUUAUUUUGAGGUGGAUUUUCUAAAAGUUCUGAGCCUAAGUAUGGAAGUAGUAUUUAGCAUCGAGCGGGAAGCGUGGGUUUAGCGCAUCCUACUUUCUUAGGACUAUAUGCCACCGUAGGAUUGCGAUUUAUGGGCCUAAGGUUGAGAUCGUGACCACUAACAUUGAGUUUCUAUUCUUAUGGCAAGGGUAGAACAGCUCUCCCCAACGUGGGCAAGACGUUGGACUCUAUGUGGCUCACAUGGUUUAUGUCGAUUAGAAGAAACUCUCAAAGCAGUCCCCUACUCUAAUUAAGCUAAAGGUAUAUAUUUCAAAAGUUUGAUUUUUGAGAUUUCCAAGUUUCCAGGUCCAUAAUAUUUCAAAGUUUCCCAAUUGCAAAUAUCUAAGUUUGUAAAGUUUUAAGUCCUUUAGUUUUAAACAAGUUCUAUUUUCCUCAGUAAAGAAGUAUGAGUUUUGAAAGAUUAUUUAAAGAUUUCUUUAGCUUACGAGUUUUGAGAAUAAAAGGAGAAAUUUAGAUUUUUGAGUUAAGUAUAAUGACUCACGAGAUUUAUGAUACAUGUUUCAUUAUUCAUGAUCUAUGAUGUUUAUAUUUCAAAUUUUAUUCAAGCUUUGUAAGUCAUUAUUACCAGCAUGCAUGAUUUCUAACAAAAUUUAUGAUAUCAUUUAUUCAAAUACAUACACCCCCAUAUACUAAAUACAUUCUCAUAGUACUGAUCACAUACUCGUUUGUGUGCUACAUUUCCUCAUAAUGUAGGUUCAUGUGCCCAGUCCUAGCAGCGUCAGUGAACCCAAUCACCUUUGUCUAUAUUCCUGCAGUGGUGAGUCUUCAUGGUUCAAGGACCUAUGUUCCAGUCAUUCUGUAUUAUCAGUUGUUGUGUUAUUUUCUUUUAUUUGAGUAUGAAUUAGUUGGGUAUCUGUCCCAAUGGCUCCCUAUUCUUUGAGUUGUAGAGGCUCUGUCAGACUAGACUGUCAGUUGUGUUGUCGGACUUUUCAAUAUCUUCUGAUUUGGACAUUAUAUUUAUAGAGUGGAUUGAUGAGAAUUAAUUCUAAUUAUCUAAUUUAGAUUCUUAAAAUGAGUAUUAAAUGUAGUAGUAAGCUCAAAGGGUUAACUUGGGGCUACUUGUAGCCUCAAGCACCGUGUGAUAUCUCGAGACCCAUUUUCGGAGCAUUACAGUCUACGAUUUUCAUCAUACAAAAAAUCAAGAAUACAUUUUUGCAUAACAUAAUUACUAUCUAUCCAGUUACAAGUAAUCAUUUUUAUUAACAGUAUAAUCAAGAUCAGAAGUUAGAGUCAUGCUACAUUGGAUAUUUUUUAAUAAUUUAGAUAAAUAAAAAACAUAUUGUGAAUGAAAUCUAAAAAUAUCAGCCUAACAAGUACUUCUAGGAAUACCAUUAUACAUAGGAUUAUAAAUUGCUUGAAUAUAAUGAAUAAUAGCAUCCGAAGAAGAAAAACUGAAAGGCAAACAACCUACAACUACCAGUUUUGCUAUUUCUUUCCGAUCCCUGUAUUUAUUAUAAUUCUUAAUUACCUGACCGGUUGUUGGGUCCACUCUAAUUUGUGUUGGCCCACCAAUAGCCUCACCACCUCAUGCAAUAAAUAACUCUCUUACGUGAUCAUCAUUUAUAUAUCUCAUUAACAUACCCAUACCCCUUGCUUGCCUUCACUUUUAUACUUAUAUAUUUGUUGACAAAUAUUGCAUUGCACCUCAGUAUCUCCUAUUUGUAUAAAAAAUUGUCAUGCAAUACUAGUUGUUCUAUGAGCUCUUGGGGAACGGGGAGGAUAGGGAUGGUGAUUAACCAAUUCAGAUCUAACGUUAGCAUUUCCUACCACGUGUGUCUCACCAAUAUUUUCAUCAUCUUCAUUUAAAUCUACCGCAUCUACUUUAUUUUCUUCGUCUAUACAAUAAUUUUUUUGAGCUUCUACAUAAUUUAUAUCGUGAGCAUCUACACCUACUUCUUACUCAAAAGGUUGACUAAGCGGUACCGGAGGCGGAGGCACAUGAGUAUAUCUUCUACUUGAACUACCUCUACCACCAGUAAUUCGCUUUUUACUACCACUAACACUUUCGUGAUAAAUUUUUUACACUUUUAGUGGUGAGGUUUCUUAAUUUAUCCAUAACAUAAAUCAAACUAAAAAAAUUUAAAAUACACAAAUAUAAUUAAAUGAAAUAUUCAAUAAUUAAUACACUAAUUAAAAAUUAAAAGUAAGAGAUGGAACGACAAUACCAAAUCUUUGAAGUAUCCAAAAGUUGUGACUUUAGAAACUUCCACUCGUACUUUGUAAUCGCAAAAUUAAAAAAUUAAAUUGAGCACUUUAGAAAAUGUAUAGAAUAUUUGAAUUUUGAGAAUUGAAUUUGAGAGAAUGAAAAUUGUGUGGAAAAUGAUUUGAAAGUGUAGGGUAUUUAUAUGAAUUUUUUUGGGUUUAAAUAAAUAUUUUAAAUUAAAAAGGUUUUUUUUUAUUAAAAAAGGCUAAGUAGCCGUUUGGACCCAAACCCAACAGUCAAAAAUCAUUUUUUUUAAAAGUUUCCGGGCCGAUUAAUCAAAGCCUGGAUCGAUUUUGGUUUGAACUGGAUUAACCGAGCCUAAUUUUAAAAUUGGCUCAGCCCGAGACCCGGUACCGUACAGCCCGGCGGCUAACUGGGACGGGUUAUUUAAGUGGACCGAUUUGGGCAAGCUCAAAUCGGCCCGAUUAACACCUGUACAUUGUGCAAUGUAAGUCACUAAACCCCAAGGACAAAUUUAUCAGCUUAAGAGGAAAAUUAAAAGGGAACAAAAAUAAAAAAAGAGAUUGUGAAGUUGUUUCUAAUUUAUUUUUAUAAUAGAUUAUUGUUAUUUAUAAGAAAAAUAAUAAGGCACUUAUAAAUACUAUUUUAUUUUAUUUUUUGUAGAAAAGGAUGAUUAUUCAUUACUACUAAAAAGUUGAAAACAUCAGUACACAUGGAAGCCAUUUGGAGGAUCUUCCCUAAUACUAUGACCAUUAGUACAAUUACAAACAUCCAACCAAACUUGUUUUAUAAAAACAGUCUCCAUCCUUAUAAAUACUACUUAAAACUCCCUUACUACUUAUAAAUACUACUGCUGGUCAUAAUCUCCCAAACUCCCAAACUUGUCUAGGCCAGGGCAUCUUGAUAAAAUUAGUGGCUUAAAGCCAAAUAGUAAUAGGAGUUCUUACAUGUAUAAAUAUACAUACAAAAAUACAACUGUAAUAAUUUAGAGUUGACUUAGUUAUUCUUGCAUAAUAGUUGUUUCGAUGUAGUAUUUUAAAAAAACACAACCUUUAACUUCACAUAUUAAUAUGAUUAUUAAUAAAAGUAUGGAUUAAUUUUUGUUAAUAAGAUGUUAGCCAUUUAUUUGCAAUGCAUUAACUUGGAUGUUGUUGUUAAAAUGUUAUUUAUUAAUAUAAAGUUUGAGUUGUUUAGUUCAAAGUUCUAAAAUAUUCCUUGUAAAAAUAAGAUAACUUUUUCUCUGUAAUUAUUAUUAUUAUUAUUAUUUAGAUACUUUUUAAAAAUGUAUUUCACAAUCUUCAUUAUUAUUCGAAGUGUAGUUUACUAUUAAAAAUUUGAGGCAACAAAAUUUUGGGGCCUAAAGCGAUGGCUUUACUAGCUUUACGCUUGAGCUACCCUAUGUCCAUCCAAAGUUAGUGUUCUUCCUGCCUUCUUCUUGAACUAGUCCAUCGUUCUUUUCUUAAACCAACUCCAUCAUACAAAUGCAUAAAAUAAUACAGAAAGUUCCAUUAUUCAUUUGAGAAGAGAAUAAAAUGAAAAUCAAUAUGAUCCUAUAGUGGUGUCGAUUGGUCCAUUUCACCACGAAAAAACUAAUCUUAAAUUUUUUUAAAAUUUCAAACUUACGGAUUUGAAAUUAUUCAUUUCCUAAAGUAGUUUAGAAGAGGAAUAUUUGUUCGACAACAUUCUAGCAGUAGUGAAAGAAGCCAGAAAAUACUACCUUGAUAUGGAAACCGAACGGUUUAGUGACAAUGAAUUUGCCUCAAUGAUGCUUUUGGAUGCAUGCUUUAUUAUGAACCAUAUGGAAAUAACCUUGAGGGACGACUCAGAAAAGGACUUUGCUACAAAAGAGCAGUUAGGAUUAUUUAUGGUGUCACAAACAAGUCGGGAUUUGGUUUUGAUGGAAAAUCAAAUCUUGAACUUCAUACUCCAGAUAAUGGUUAAACUAAGGGAUGAAGAAUAACAACAAAAUUUAAUGCCUUCCAAUUUUGAUGAUUAUUUAUUCUUUUCGGAACUAAGGCACCAUGGAGAUCCGAAAAUGUACAAUGAAUAACCAUUGCAUUUUGUCAAAUUAUUGCGCAUGUUAUUUGUCAACUGGCAAUUUAAUGGGGAUUUUCAUAUUCCAUUUGGAACCAAAAAUACUAACAGAAUACCUUUGGAGUCAAUUCAAUCGACUACGGCGUUGAGCAGUAAGGCUAUUUAUGUUCGCCCAAGCUCUCGUCAUGUUCCAAUGGACGUGUACAUCGAAAAACAUAGCCAUCUGCUUUACCUGCUUUACCCGCUUGCUUCACGACCAGAUUUGUCGUAUCUUAUUUUUUUAAUUAAAUUUUUGGUCCCAUCUGGACCAUUUUAUUUAUGUUGCUAAAAUCAAAGCAUAUCCACAAUUAUACAUUAAUCGGACGGUCCCAACAAAUGACCAGAUCCACUUGAAAAUAAGAUGUAAAGUUUCUUAAAACAUACAAAGCAUCCAUCCAUUUAAGCAAGAGUAGCAAGUACUUUUAUUCCUCAUCUGCCGCAUACUUUACUGUUCCAUUAUUACUGCUUCCUUUGCUGCUUGACUAUCUUGCGUGUUCUGAUUCAGAGAUUAUGGAUUUGAGUCUUAUCCAUGUUGAGUAACUUUCUUACCUCAAUCAAAAGUUGUAUGAAUAUGCUAAAUUCCAUUUCUAUUUGCUGCACAAUAACUUUACUAGCUAAAGCAUCUGCUACAGUAUUUUCUUCUCUAAAAAUGUGUGUAACAUUUCUUUGUACUGCUUUCAACAUGUAUUGAAUGUUUUCAACUCUUUCCACUACUCCCAUGGAUUUUUCCACUAAUCCUGAAUCAUCUUUUGAGAGAUAAGAGAGUCAUUUGCAAUGGUAACUACUUUUAUGUUUUGUGCUUGACAAUAUGUCAAAGCCUCUAUAAUUGUUGUAAUCUCUGCCUCUAUAUUAGUAGUUUACCCUAUUCCUUUAGCUUUUGGAAAAACCAAAUUCCCUUUUUCAUUCCUGAUGCAGAAACCAAUAGCCACCAAUACCUAGGUUCCCCAAACAUGCCCCAUCUGUGUUACAUUUAAAUUUACCGCUUUUCGAAAAACACCAUAUAACACUCAGACAAUGUAACCAAGGUCUGUAUUAUGUGAAGGUGUUUAUCAAAGAUGGGCAAUCUCUCUCUCCUACCAACACCCAAGGAUAUAAGAUUUUGAUGAAUUUUCUCACCAAGUCUUGUGACUGGCACACCAGGGUGUUAAAAAUAACUCUACCUUCGUGCUUAAUGCCAUUUCUUCUUUUCCACAGACACCACAUGAUCAUUGUUGGGUUUGUUUCAAACACCACUUUCAGUUUUGUAGGCACCUUCAUUAUCCACCAAGUCCAUAUCACCUGAUUUAGAUUCAUGUCUUCAAUGUCUAUAGCUGCAAAAAUAGCAAACUGCCUCCAUAGCCUUUUAGCUAUAUGGGAUGUUAGAAAAAGAUGCUCCAUAGUCUCCUCAUUUUUAUCUUCACAUCACCAACACCUAGUGACAAUGUUAAUUCUCAUGUUCUUGAGAUUGUCAUCGGUAGCUAUCUUUCUUCUCCAAACCCUCCACAUGAAGAAACUAAUUUUAAACGGCACUCCUUUCUUCUAAAUAUACAUGUAUUCCUUCUCAUCAUAUGGAAAGCUGAUUUAACAGAAAAUAUACCUUGAUUGUUACCCAUCCACCAAUCCCUAUAAUUGAGCUAAUCACCAACUGGAGGAUUUAUAUAUUCCAUUAUGUAAUCAGUCAUAUCUUGAGAUAGUCUGCUUCUUAACAUCUGAUAGUUCCAGCCUUCCUCAGUUUCAAAAUGUCUAACCUCCUAUUUCUUCUUCAACAACAUUCUCUCCUUCCACAAAAUAGAGGGCACUUUGUCUAGUCCAGUUUUCAAACCAGAAAUUUUAAUUUCCUGAUUUGACCUGCCACCAUAUAUUAUGCUCAAUGUAUUCCCUGAUGUCCUCUAAACUUGUCCAAGAUUGAGAUGAUCUAAGGGCCCUAGCCUGGGUAGGAUGUAGCUUUUGCAAUAUUUAUUCUACAUAAAUUCACUCCACAAAGAGGAGGUAGAAGUUCUAAAAUUCCACCAUAGCUUAGCAUUAAGGGCUUUAGAAACGGUAUGUAAAUAUCUAAAACCAAUACCAAUUUUUCCUUGGAUAGCACAUAGUUUCCCAAGAAACCCAAUGCUUAUUCUUGGCUCCAGUAGCAUUUCCCCAGAAAAACUUAGCAAAGAUUUUGUGAAUUUGAAUAUUAACCGAAACAGGAGGAUUCAUGGCGGAUAAAAAAUAUAUAGGUAUAGAUUUUAACACAUGAGCUAUUAAUAUAUACCUUCCUCUAAAAGACAAUAGUUUAUUCUGCCACAAGAUUAACCUUUUCAUUACCUUCUUAACCAAAUCCUCAAAGUAGCACUUUUUUCCCAUAAAAAACAGGACAUCCUAAAUAGGUCAAAGGAAAAGAACCCCGAGCAAUACCAGUUAUUCUUUUAAUUUUUAAACACAUACCUGUAGGAGUCUUUUCAUGUAGAUAGAAUAAACUUUUGUCUAGAUUAAUCAGCUGUCCUAAUAUUCUCUCAUACUCCCUCGAAAUAUUUUUCAUCUUCUUCAUAGAAACUAAGUGUCCUGAACAAAAGAGAAUAGGAUUAUCAUCAUAAGAGAGGUGAUUAAUUUUUGCUCCCCACUUAGGCAUACCAUAUCCUUUGAAUAAGGGAUCAUCAAACAACUUAUUUAAGAUCCUAUCUAGUACUUCAGCUGUAAUGAUGAAGAGAGUAUGAGAUAAAGGGCCUCCUUGUUUUUAUCCUCUAGAUGAUUGAAAGAAACAAAUGAUUGCCAUUCACCAACACUGAGUACCAAUUAUUACUAAGUAGCCAUACAACCAUAUCAAUAAUUCUUUCAUCAAAACCAAAUCUUCUCAAAACCAUAAUAAGGAAUUUCUAAGAAAACCUAUCAUAUGUUUUUGCCAUGGACAACUUAACCACCACAUUCUGUUCUUUGUUCCUCAAAUUAAUGUCUCUUAUUAUUUCUUAUACCAGCAACACAUUCCCAGUAAUACUCCUACCAUUAACAAAAUCACUUUGAUUGGGAGUAAUGAUACUAGGAAUUAAAUCAACAAUUCUUUCAUGUAAUACUCUUAAGAUUAUUUUAUUAGCAAAAGUACUUAAUCUUAUGGGUCUUAAGUCUCCAAAAGUUUUAACUAUUUCCUUCUUAGGAAUUAGUACCAAAUUGGUUUGAGUUAUAAACCUUGGAAUCUCUUGACCAUAAAAGAAAGCCUUCACCAUAUUUAUAACAUCCUCUACAAUAGUUUCUCAACAUGAUUGAAAGAAUUAUCCAGAGAAACCAUAAGAACCACUAGCACUCUCCCCAUGUAAAGCAAAAACCACCUGUUUCACUUCCUUCCUGGUUGGUAUAAUGACCAUGUUCUCAUUUUGCUCCUGUGUAAUCAUAUUAGGAAUAUAUUGGAUCAAUUAUGUGUUUUCUCCUUCCUGCUCUUGAGUGAACUGUUUGAUGAAAUAAUUAAUAGCCUUUUCUCCUAUGUUCUAGGUUGUACUGACCAUGUCACCUUGCAUUGUCUGAAUUUCUGACAACUGCAUUUUCGUUCUUCUUUCCUUUACAUAAGAGUGAAAAAAUUUUGUAUUCCUAUCUCCAUCUUUAAACCACCUUAUUCCUGUCUUUUGUUUCCAAUAUUCCUCCACUAAGUGUAAAUAUCUUUUCAAGUCAACUUCCACCCUAUUCAGUUCUAAUUUAUUUUCUUUAGAAUGACAAAUCUCCAAUUGAAUAUGCACUUCACUGUUGGGAAGAAGUUGCACAAAUUCACUAUUUCCAAAUACCCUAUCAAGCCUCUUGAAAAUAUACUCCUCUUCUAUUCUUCCAUUCCACCAAGUAUAAUUGCUACCUAUGAACUUUAGUUUAUUUAGAGCACAUUUACUAAUACAACUCAUAAAAUCAAUAGUUUCUUCUUGAGUAACAGGUAACCCUCCUAGCUUUUCUACCUCAUCCACAAUAGUAUUGAAAUCUCCCCUACCAACUAGGGGCAUUGCAAUUGAUAUUCAACCUAUUCUAAAUCUUUUCAUAAUUCUAGUCUCUUUAAAACACUACAUCUUGCAUAAACUGCAGAAAUGAAAAUAUUUUCAUUUGAACCCCUUCUCUAAAACUUCAUAGUUAUUUGUUGCAUUGAGUCUGAAAACUCUUCAAACUCCCAUCCAUCCUCGCAAAAUAUCCAUAUCUUAGCAGAAUAAUUCACUUUAGCAUUUGAUAAGCCUAAUCUCCUUCUAUAUUAUUCUAUCUCAUUUGGACUUUGAAAGGCUUAAAUAAAGCUAUAAGUGAGUAUUGAUAUGUAUUAUUUAAGUUUACUAAUCUCUCAAAAGAUCUUUGAGUUUUAACAGACUUAAUAUUCCAAAAAAUCACCUUAUUAAUCAUUGAUUAAUAGUAAAUGAGGACCCCUUCUUUCUCCUUGUAUGUAUUUAUGAUUGUUGAAGCCCAGGUUUACCACCCUUCUUGUCUUUUCCUUUCAACUGCUUGGUUUUUCUAGGUGAUAAAUCACCUUCCUUGCUUACUUUUUCUAUGUUGAGAUCAAUACUUUCAUCUUCUUCUUCAUUUUGCUUGUGAUUGACUUUCUUUUCUGAAAUGUUCUCAAUACUAGGUACCGAUGAUGUUUCUCAUUGAUCUUCCUCCCUUAUUUAUUGUAUGUUGUCACUCCUUUGUUGAUCUUCUUCUUUUAAGUUUUUCUCCUUCUCAUUAAUUUUCUUCUGACUUGACACUGCUGGAAUACUAUCAGCUCUUUCAUUUAUCUGCUCUACUGAAUUCUCUAGAUGGUGUAUGGAUUUGUGAGUGCUUUGUGCAUCAUGUUGACUGAUGUUCUGUGUUUUGUCACCUAUUUGUUCCAUUAGAUCCUUCAUAAUACCUCCUUCAUUGUUUUUUGUAUACAGUGUAUGGCAUUUCUAUAUUCACUUCCUCUUUGUUACCAAUUAUCUUAUCCACAUUGCUUUCCUAUAAUGCCUCAAAUUUGUUCUCCACAGCAACUUCUUUAUUCGAUUGGUAUUGAUUCCAUUCAUAUCUACCUCUGUUAAAUUGUCUUCCCCUUCUGAAAGCAUUCCUUUACUUUUGAUAUUUGAAUUCACCCUCUCCCUCUUUUGUAAUUUUUUAUUUAUCUUCCUGGGGUUAAACCUUUGCAUUUGAAUUUGAAUGUUGCUCAGCAACCUUCCCCUUUCCUGACUUGUACUCCUCAUUAUAAUCCUUGUUUUCACUUUCCUCUUCAUAUUUUUGGAAUAAUUCUAGAUGUAAUACAAAACACACCUUCUCAUUAUGUCCUUAAACCUGUAUGUCUUGAAGUAUUUAGGUACAUAAUCAUACCUAAUAUGGAUCCACUUUUCUUUAAUGUCCCCAUUCUUCAUCCUCAUACCCACAUUAGUUCUCUUUGGAAAAUCUCCCAGUAGAUCUACUUUCACCUUGACCCUUGCACAGCUGGAUCAAGACUGGGAUCUCUGUCUUGCUUUUCUUUCACCUUGAAAACUAAAGAUGAUUUUAAACUACUCUAAACCCAUAUAUUACCUUCUGCUGAAUUGACUAAGCGGACACUGGUGCGUGAGUAGAUGCUAAUACAUUUGAGGCUUUUAACUGAGAAUAAUUGUAAAGUCUUAAGCAACUUUUUUUUUAAUUGUUUUAUCUUUGAUAUUGCAGUAAAAGUCAAGAUGAAAGGAAACCAACAACAAUGGGUAAAAGACUUGAUUUCUGAGUAAGUAGAAAUGAAAGUAUAGCUGACGACUUGUCUGAUAAGUCGUCAGCAUUGUGAUAAGCUAUCAGAGUUGCCGUCAGCCUUAGAAAGAGAAUGAAAUUUAGCUGGAAGAUAUAACGACAACCUAUGAUAAGCCAUUAGAUGUGUGAUAAGCCAUCAGGCUCAUCGUUAAGCUUAGACAGAGAAUGGGAUUUGAAGUAAAGACGCGACAACAAUUCUGAUAAGUCAUCACAAAUCUGAUAAGCCAUCAGGAUUCAUCGUCAUCUUAAGACAGAAAUUGUUCAAAUGUGAAGAGGAUUUGAUGACAUUCCUGAUAAGGCAUUAGACUUCUGAUAAGCCAUCACACACAUCAUCGUCUGUCUAAAAAAAAUACUGUGAUCUGUGAUUUUGUUUCCAUAAUUAGGCUAAAGUGUUUUUAGCAUAUGUUAGGAUUUUCUAAGGAUAUCUUGACCUAUCUAAAACUUCACGUACUUGGUGAAUUUCUCUUUAGUUUUAUGAGUUUAACAACAGAGUUAUUUUUGGAGAGAUUGUAACCAUUGUUUUGGGAUUUUCUACUGUGAUCUACUUAGAGAAAUACUUAUUGUUAUUCAUCUUGCUAUAAGUUCAUCAAUCAGAUUAUGAAUUCAUCUCAUUGUCUUGCUUAUUAUCCCUUAACUCGAGUUGUGGGAUCUAUGGGUUUGGGUUUGUAACAUAACUAAGUGUUCAAGAUUUAAACGGUGGUAGAAACUCCUUAAUAAUUUCAUUAUUUUAUAUUCUGACUAUUGGUUGCAAACAAUAGUCUUUGCUUAAUAAUGAUUUGCUUGAGAUAAGAAAUCAACCCUAGUAAGAAGUGAAUUAUCAAUAGGGACUAAGAAGCAUCAAACUUCCAUUUAAUAAUUAAUGUUGUAACAAGAUUAAUUAACUUGAGAUAACAUCAUGUUAUGAAAUAUAAAUUCCCUAAUUUCGAGAGAAUUAGGUGGUUAAACGUCUAAAUAGGUUGAGAAACAUUUAGACAUAACUUCGAUAAGAAUAAUCUGUUAUUCCUACCUACCACAAGAAUCUUGAAUUGUUACUAGCGUCUGUCAAAUCCCAACACCCAUAGUGAACAUAACUCUGGUUUUCCUUAUCAUAUCAAUUUCAAACACUGAAUUGAGAAGUAAUUAUUUUCUACCUUUCCACAAACCCUCAUUCACAAGAAACUGCUAACUAUUAGUUGAUUAAACUGCAAAUAACUCAAAUUUACACCAUAUUCCCUGUGGGAUUCGACCCCAACCUAGUUGAUUUAUAUAUUGACAACGAUUGCUUACAUUCUCGUAAGAGAGGUAUAGUUUGAGUUUUAUCAAGAAUGGCGCCUUGCCGGGGAAUUCGGUUGUAAAUUUAAGUUUGUGUGCGCUAAUUGAUUGUUAGUUAAGUUUUCCAAUUUUAUGUUUAUUUGUUGUUUUUGUUUGUUGCAUGAACACUAUUGUGUAUGCCAAAAACCAGAAGUUCAGGAGAAGCGUUAUUACCGUUCAAUUUAGAAUCACAAUUAAUCAACAGAAUGGCAGACCAAUAAGAGGCUGAUAGACUAGCAGCCUUGGCUAUAGCUUAGGUUAAUCUGUAGAAUGACAGUCAACAAGCCCGUCAUCCAAAUCCUGAGGAUGAGGACUUAAGGGAUGAGGAUUUACUGAAUCCUGCUAACCUAAGGCGUGCAGAGCAAUUAGCUACACUAGUACAACGUAAUGCCAACAUGAACCAUCCAUUCAGAGCAAGGUAGGAUCGCCAGCCUACCCAGUAUAAUCCCAAUAAUGAUGAUGAUAGAAUGGAUGGAGAAGGUGCUAUAAAUGUAAUUAUUCCUCCACCGUUAGCACCUGGGGAAAAAUUCAACAUUACCAGUACCAUGAUUCAACUCCUUAAUUUAAAGGGGUUAUUUGGUGGUCUUCCUGGGGAUGAUCCGAACUUGUAUAUGGUGAAAUUUGUCACCAUCUGUAAAUACUUUGAUAACCCAGGAGUGGGUCAUAAUGCUAUCCAUUUGAGAUUGUUUCCAUUAUCUCUAUCUGGGGAGGCAAUAUUAUGGCUUAAUAAGCUGACGCCCGAUCUAUAACCAACUGGAGGUAGGUGAAAGAAGCUUUCCUAGAAAAGUUCUUUCCACUUUACAGGAGGGUACAGUUGAGGGAUGAGAUCAGUAACUUUAGAAAGCUCCCAGCUGAAGCCUUGCAUAAAACUUGGGAGAGAUUUAAAAAAAAGCUGACGCAGUGCUCGAACCACAAUAUGAUGGACAUACACUUGAUGGAGACUUUGUAUAGGGCUCUUAACUCUGUGAUAAAACCGAUUGUAGAUAAUGUUGUUGGUGGUUCGUUUGUUGAUCUUACAUUCUUGUAAGAUUCAGAAAUGCUAGAAAAAAUGGCCAAAUAGAGUUGAGCUUAGCAUACCAGGGAUUCUGUGGUAGCAAGCCCCACUGUUUUUAUUGGUAUGACUAUAGAACAACACAGAAGAGAUGAGGAGCGAGAUCAGGACAUAGCUCACCUGAAGACACAGAUGGACUUUCUAACCAAGCACUAACUAUCAGGAAAGACUGAGAAAGUGAAGGUUGUGGGAUCGCAGGGCAGAGUUGAGUCUAACUUAGAAGAAGAAGUGAACUAUAUGAAUAAUCAGGGGGGUUUGCGAGGCAAUAUCCUAGGGAAUCAAGGUCGGAACUACUAUAACAAGUCUGGUUAUAAAGAUAGGGAGAAAGGAAAUUGGAGGAUCAAUAAUGAUAGGAGUGGGCUAUAUGUCCUACCUGGAAGUUCAUGAGGCUGCUGCAACAAGUUCUAAAAAGAUGUCUAUGGAGGACAUGAUUGUUAAAUUGUUAAAGGGAGUUGAGGCAACCAAAUCUAGGAUGAACACCAUGAAGACUGAUGUAUCUUCUAUGAGCCAGUUGGUAAACUCACACUCCACCUCAAUCAAAUAGUUGGAGCAGUAGAUGAGCCAACUCUUCACAGCACUUAAACAGAGGAAGAGUGGAAUAUUACAAGUGAUACAGUUCAAAACCCACAGAAUGAUGGCUCAUGUAUGGCUAUGACCACAUAGAGUGGUGAGGUUUUAUCAGGACCUUCUGUGUGCCAAAGUUUGAGUGAAAAUAUGACUGAAGAAGAUGAUGAACCCGAAGAAAAAUGUCUAGUGGAGUCUAAGAAGCUGGAUGGUUCUGAUGAUGCUCUAAAACAAAGAAAAGAGAAAGAAAAGGAAGUAGUGAUAAAAACUCUCCUAAGACCACCACCUCUCUUUCCUCAAAGAUUUAAGAACUUGGAUGAUGCAAAAUUUAGAAAGUUCAUGGCGAUGUUGAAGCAGUUGACAAUAAAUGUGCCUUUUGUAGUGGCACUUGAACAAAUCCCAAGAUAUGUUAAAUUUAUGAAGGAUCUGGUGAUGAAGAACAGGGCAGUACUCUACGAGCUAGUGGAUAAUUUCCACUAUUUUAGUGUCAUUUCUACAUUAUCCUUAGUGCAUAAAAAGGCUGACCCUGGAGCAUUCACUAUCCCAUGUACAAUUGGGUCUCUUAAAGUUUCUAAGGCCCUAUGUGAUCUGGGAGCUAGCAUCAAUCUAAUGCCACUAGCGGUUUAUGAAAAUUUGGGCUUGGGAGACCCCACACCCACUAACAUGUGACUUGUGAUGGCUGAUAGGUCAAUAAAAUGACCUGUUGGUGUAUUACAUAAUGUGUUAGUAAAGGUGGCUGAUUUUAUAUUCCUUUCCUAGUUUGUAAUCCUUGAGUGUGAAGUGGACUUUGAAGUACCCAUUAUUUUGAGUAGACCCUUUUUAGCCACUGGGAAAGUGAUAGUAGACAUGGAUCGGAAUGAAAUGAAGUUUAGGCUCAAUGAAAAAAAGGUUAGUUUUAAGGUGCACCAAUCCCUGAAAUAGAAGAAGAAGAUGGAUGUCUUCUCGAUCGUUGAUAUGUACUAUGAAGAGGUAGGAGACACACCAGCUGAACCAGGUCGAAAGCACUUUCUUGAUCUAUCAAAUAAGGUAAAGAAGUAUAAACAAGGUAUCUCCAUGAAGUCUAAGUAAUCGAGAUAGCUGCAUCGUGACACGAUGAUAAAUCAGGCGCUAGUGGGAGAAAACCCAAAAUUUUUAUGUUUAACACAAGUUAUUUUAUUUAAUUAGAUGGUAAUCAUGGUAAAAUGAUGAGGUAUGCAAAGACUGGGAUAAAACUAAUGUAUCCUGCUAAGUGAUUCUGACGACAUAUGUGACGAGCUAUCACAAUUAUGAUAAGCCAUCAAAUUUGAUGUUAGAGAAGUCAUAUUUGAUGGUAUGUCUAUUAAGUCUGACGACGAUUAUGAUGGUGCAUCAGCUUCCUGAUAAGUGUCAGGUAAAAUUAGGCCCAGCAUCUAAAAUUUGACCCGGCCCACUGUCAAACUUCUUACCUUCCCGCGUAUCUUUUCAACUUAUUUCUUUCCAUUUUUAGUUUAUUUUCUUUCCUAGUUUACUUAUUUCUUAACAAAACAAAAAUUGGUUCCCUUUUUACUCAUUGAUUUUGAGUUCAAAAGCAAGAAUCCCUUCUUUCCUUUCUCUUCUUCCUUGCCCACUCAUGAAGUUCAGUCAAAAUAGUUACCAAGAAUUCUAAGCUACCAAUAGGUAUGUUCUUAGUUAAUCCCUUUCUUGUUAUUUGGUAAGUAGCAAGGUAGUGUUGAACAUUGGUUCUCAAGGAUUUUUGGGUCAAAAUUAGCAAAACAAUGUGUGGAAACUAAAAUUAGGGUUUACUAUGAUACAUUGCACACAAAAAUCUAAAAGCCCAGCUCAAGAAUUCAACUCCAUGUGAUUUUGAGAAGAAAAUGGAUUGAUAAUCAUGUAACAUAGAGAUGGGGGUUGUGUUCUGAUCUGACGACAUAUCUGAUAAGUUAUCAUAAUUGUGAUGAUUUAUCAGAGCAUAUUGUCACAAAUGGAUAAAAUAGAGCCUAUUCUAUUUAAGGCUGACGACAUAGCUGAUAAGCUAUCACAUAUAUGACGACUUAUCAGACCAUGUUGUCAUACCUGUAAUUCGAAGCAUUAAUAAACACUUUUCAGGGAUAUGGAACUUCAAUGAUUGAUAUGUUUGUGUUAUAUACUCUUGAGUUUUGACUAAUUAUUUUUAUCUUACUACAGGUCUUGUAAUGGCACCCAAAGGAAAGAGCCCUAAAUCUACAAAGAAAGUGACUAAGGGGAGUGUACCUUCGAAACUCCUUAAUGAGGAAUCCGAUUAUAAAGAGGAGGAGCCACUGCUCAGGAAGCAAAGGAAAAAGAAAAUCCUAAAAAAUCCUUUGCCACCUCCACCAGUUGAGGUACAGGAGAGUGAAGAAACUGAUACUAAGGCAACAACACCAUCUGAUCGUACAUCUUCUGAGCAACCUGAAUCUGGAAAUUCUGAGUUCGAGGAACCUGAGUAGGAACAUACUAAUUCUGAGCAACCUGAAUCUGAGGGACCAUCAUCUGAGUCCCAUUCUUCUGAACAAUAGGCUAAUGAAGAUCCUCCAACCCAGGGAAAUCUGAUUAAAUGCAAGAACCUUGGUGUUCGAGAGAGCGCUAAAUGGCAAAUCCCAGGGGAAAAAGAGAUUUUAUAUAAAGGGCUUCUUAGAACAAAAAGAAAACCCAUUAAAAGGCUAAUUUUUGAAGGAAAAAAUAUCAUCACAACUGGGUUGAGCAGAUACCCUAAAGUAGAGUAGAAAUUCUACGACUAUGACUUAGGAUGGACCGCAAAAAGAGGAGGCUCAUUUUUUCCUACAUUAGUUUGGGAAUUCUAUACGAACUGCCAAGAUAGAUUGGAGAACAUGUGCAGAGAAGGGGAGAGUUCAGCCGAUCAGCCCUUGAUUUAUAGAGUUCCAGUACAAGGUGUAAUGGUGGAUCUCUAAAAAAUGACAAUCAACAGAUUUCUUCAUGGCCUCAAAUUCACUCCUCAGACCACGUUACCUACAAUCUAUGCUCGGUUGAAGCAUCAGGUAAAUCAAUGGUCUUGGUUAGCCACCCUCAUUGCUGAAGAAGAACCUGAAUGGAUGACCAACCCAAAUGAAAGGAUUUUCAAGGUGUCCCUGACUCAAUAAGCAAGGUUCUGGUGGGGUGUAGUAUUCACCCAUUUGAUGCCUACUAAAGGAGAUAACAUCCUUGGAGAUGAUAGAGAAAUACUGGUUGUAAUUCUUAUAGCUAACCUUAAAUUGAACUUUGGAGAGAUAAUUGCUCAGGAAAUAAAAAUUCGAGUAUCAUGACCUGACACAGUAUACCCAUUCCCAUGUUUGAUUACAAAGUUAUAUGAGGUGGCUAAUAUGCCUGAGGUUGCGGGAAUAGACCAAGACUUUCCUGCCAAGAAAACCCACAACCUCAUCCAAUAUGAUGAAAAUUAGCCUAGGCUGACACUUGACAGAGGAGCAGAGGUUGCAACAAAUCUACCAGUUAUAGGUACUAGCUCAGCACCUAAUGUAGAGGUGUAGGAUUUUGAAGAUGCACCAUCGACAUCCUCAACACAAGAAGAUUCAGUGCCUAAAAAUGAGACAAACCCUUCAGCUAUUGUGCUUAUAAUAGAAUUUUCCCUCAACUCGAUGAAUUUUAGAAGAGUGGCAAAACAAGCCAAGUGGUGUGAGGCUCAGCUGCAAUAUUUUGCCAAGCAGUUUGCCUCUGCAAUAGACAAGAGGAUUUAGGUUGCGCUUAAACCCUUCAAGGCACUGCCGAGUUGGGUUGAUGAAUUAGAGAACCAUUUCUAUGUACGGUUGAAAGAAAUUUUGAUUCCAGAUCUUGCACUCUUCAGAUCAGACCUAGACAAGGUAAAAUCAGAUGUUGGAAGAUUAUAGAAGCACCAAUUUGUAGUGUCAGUAGGUCCGGCUAUUGAUAAGUCUGAGGAUGAAGUUCCCUUGAUUGAUCUCAAUGGGGAACCAGUAAAGAAAAAGAAGAAAAAAUCCAAGAAGAAAUAUAAAGGUAAUAGAGAAAGGCCAGAUAGCGAUGAAGAAAGAAAAAUAGAGAAGAAGGCAAGAAAAAGGAUUAAAAGUAAGAAACAAAGAAGGCGAUGAUCGAGUCAUGAGCUGACAAUGACAAAUAGGAGGAGGCCCUAAGAGCGAGAGUUGUAGGUGCCUCAACUAGUAGGCCUCCAACAAUUGUUAGGCCAAAUGUGUCAGAUUGGAGGAAGGCUCCCGAUGGAGAUAAGGCAGUUGAGGAUGCAGCAGCAGGGUCAGGAGUACUCUAGGUAUACCCUAACCCUUAGUUUAGUUUUUAUUUAAUUUUAAGUUGAGGGUGUAGGGUGAGUUGUUGCUGUAAAAAUUUUGUAACUGACUAGGAGAAAUACAAGUAACUGAGGCAGUUAACAUAGGUUUGUUAUUUUGUGAACACCUCUUAAAUGGUCUGAUUAUUUAACUAUGUGAUUUGCAUCUAAUUGUGACCACUGUGCAUCUUGUUAUAGAAUUAGUUCUAGUGACUCGAUAAUCAUUGCUAAGAAAUUUCAUGAACUAGAUAAGUAGUAAAUUGUGAUAUAAUUGGGUGCCAUGUGAAUGUGAGAUCUUACUUAGUUCCCUUUGUAUGAUUUUAUCCAGAACUUUCCCAGUUAGUCUUAACUCAGUUGAAGGAUAGGGUUUAGGAAAGGAUCAUAGGCCAUUUUGAUAGUAGUCCACUUCUAGCCUAAAUUACCUUCCCUAUGAUAUCCCUUGGUCCUAAUUUUGCGCCUCAAUACAUAUUUAUUUUUAUGACACUAUCACUUUUCCAUUUAUAUCACAAUGAACCGUUUUGGCCCUGGUCCUCCUUGGACACUGUGCACCUUGACUUAGGCAAAUGUCCUAAGUUAAAGGUGGCUAUCAUAGGGGUGCGUAAUGUCAAAUGAGUAUGAAUAAAGGUAUAAUAAAAGAAAAGAAUAAAAAGUUAGGUGCAGUGGAAAAGAACAAGGAAAGAAAAGUUGUGAAAAAAAAGAAGUGAUUGUAGAAAAAACCACACCCAUCUGGAAUAUGUGUGAUCAAUAAAAGAAAAGAAUAGAAAAAGGUUAAUAAGUGAGACCCCAGAAGAUAGUGUAGUGUCAAGGAGGCUUAGCCACAUUAAAUAUCAUCAAGUAUCAUAUCAUCCCCUAGCCUACAUUACAAGCCAAAGAGAAGACCUAUAGUGAUCCUCCCUGACCUGUCUAAAAAUCCUGGUAUCAUCAAGUAUCAUACCAGCCCCCAGCCUACAUUACAAGCCAAAAGAAAAGAGCUACAGUGAUCCUAGAUGACCUGUCUAAAAAUCCUGGUAAUGAAAAUAAGGGAAAUCCUAUGGUAUUUGGCAUACAUUGAUUAGAAUUUCAUUUUGAAAGUGAGUGUCUUUUGACUGUCCCCAUGGUUUCACAUGUGAUUUCUAAUAUUAGAAAAGGGGAACUUCUUUGUAGUGAGGGAACACGGGUUAUAUUGCUAGUUGCUAACUUGUUCGGAUAGUGUAUUCUUGGUACAUGCAUUGUUGUUGUUGCUGAAUUGAUGCCCUAUCUUGAUUCUUGUGUGUUGCAUUAUUAUUCUUUAAUAAUUUAGAGACAGUUGUUUUUAAAUUAAUUGACCUUGGAUAUGGUGAAGAUGUUUUGAGAUGAGAUGGAUGGUUGACUGCCGAAUGUACUUGUAUCCUCUUGUUUGUGUUUUUGUUUCUUGGGGACAAGCAGUUGUCUUAAGUUGAGGGAGUUGUUGUGUGAGCAGAUGCUAACACAUUUGAGGAUUUUAACUAAGAAUAAUUGCAAAAUCUUAAACAACUUUUGUCAUUUUUUAUUAUUUUAUCUUUGAUAUUGCAGUAAAAGUCAAGAUGAAAGGAAACCAACAAUAAUGGAGGUAAAAGACUUGAUUUCUGAGCAAGUAGAAAUGGAAGUAUAGCUGAUGACUUGUCUGAUAAGUCAUCAAAAUUGUGAUAAGCUAUCAGAGUUACCAUCAACCUUAGACAGAGAAUGGGAUUCAGCUGGAAGACAUGACGACAACUUUUGAUAAGCCAUCAGAUUAUGAUAAGUCGUCAGGCUCAUCGUUAAGCUUAGACUGAGAAUGGGAUUUGAUGUAAAGACGCGACAAUAAUUCUGAUAAGUUAUCACAAAUCUGAUAAGCCAUCAGGAUUCAUUGUCAGCUUAAGACAGAACCUGUUCAAACAUGAAGAGGAGCUGACGACAUUCCUGAUAAGGCAUCAAACUUCUGAUAAGCCAUCACACACGUUGUUGUCUGUCCUAGAAAAAUACUAUGAUCUGUGAUUUUGUUUCCAUAAUUAGGCUAAAUUAUUUAAAACAUAUGUUAGAGUUUUCUAAGGAUAUCUUGACCUAUCUGAAACUUCACGUACUUGGUGAAUUUAUCUCUAGCUGUAUGAGUUUAACAACACAAUUAUUUUAGAGAGAUUGUAACCAUUGUUUUGGGAUUUUAUACUGUGAGCUACUCAGAGAAAUACUUAUUGCUAUUCAUCUUACUGUAAGUUUAUCUAUCAGAUUAUGAAUUCAUCUCGUUGUCUUUCUUAUUACAUUAUGAGUGGCUAAUCUCCCUUAACCCGAGUUAUGAGAUCUAUGGGUUUAGGUUUGUAACGUAACUGAGUGUUCAAGAUUUAAACAGUGGUAGAAACUCCUUGAUAAUUCUAUUAUUUUAUAUUCUGACUAUUGGUUGUAACAGUAGGCUUUGCUUACUAGUGAUUUGCUUGAGAUAAGAAAUCAACCCUAGUAAGAAAUGAAAUAUCAAUAGGGACUUGGAAGCACCAAACUUCUAUUUAAUAUUUAAUGUUGUAACAAGAUUAAUUAACUUGAGAUAACAUCCUGUUAUGAAAUAUAAAUUCCCUAAGUUUGAGAGAAUUAAGUGGUUAAAUGUCUAAAUAGGUUGAGAAACAUUUAGACAUAACUUCGACAAAGAUAAUUUGUUGUUCCUACCUACCACAAGAAUCUUGAAUUGUUACUAGUGUCUGUCAAAUCCCAACACUCAUAGUGAACAUAACUAUAGUUUUCCUUAUCAUAUCGUUUUCAAACACUGAAUUGAGAUGUAAUUAUUUGCUACCUUUCCACAAACCCCCAUUCACAAGAAACUGCUAACUAUCAGUUGAUUAAACCACAGAUAACUCAAAUUUACACCAUAUUCCCCAUGGGAUUCGACCCCAACCUAGUUGGGUUGUAUAUUGACAACGAUCGCUUACAUUCUUGUAAGAAAGGUAUAGUUUGAGCAUUAUCAGAAACCUAGUCUGGAAAGCUGAUGGACUUCCUGAGAUAACUUCUUCUUACUAUUCUCAACAUGAGCAACACUAACCAUAGACAGUCCACUGAGAGCGUCGGCCACUACAUUAGCCUUGCCCAAAAUAUAAAGGACACUCAUGUCAUAAUCUUUCAAGAGAUCUAACCACCUUCUCUGAUGGAGAUUAAGGUCUUUCUGAGAGAAGACAUACUGAAGGCUUUUAUGAUCUUAUAAUACAUCUACAUGAACUCCAUAUAGAUAAUGCCUCCAAAUAUUUAAGGCAUAAACUAUGGCUGCAAACUCAAGAUCAUAAGUAGGAUAAUUCUUCUCAUGGAUCUUAAGCUGCCUGGAGGCAAAGGCUAUGAACUUACAUUGCUUAAUUAGGACACAACCCAAACCCUCUCUGGAUGCAUCACAAUCCACUACAAACCCAUCUGAACUAUCUAGUAAUGCUAGAACUGGAGUUGAGGUGAGUUGAGUCUUCAAGUCCUGAAAAUUUUUCUUGCAAGGAUCUGACCACUAAAACUUGACUUUCUUUUGAGUCAACCUAGACAUAAGGGAUGUAAUAUAAGAAAAUCCCUCAAUAAACCAUCUAUAAUAUCUAGACAAAUUGAAGAAACUCCUGAUAUUUAAGGGAAAGAUAUGGCGAGGCCAGUUUCAUACUGCUUCGGUCUAUUGAGGAUCAACUCUAAUGCCACCACCGAAAAUAAUAUGACCAAUGAAUGCUACUGACCUUAGCCAAAAUUUGCACUUACUGAAUUUGGUGAACAACUGAUAAUUUCUAAGAGUCUGAAGUACGAUUCUGAAAUAGUCUGCAUGAUCACUCUCGAUCUCACUGUGGAAAUAAACAAGGAUGUCAUCUAUGAAGACUAUGACGAACAUGUCCAAAUACUUCUUGAAAACACGGUUCAUUAAGUUCAUGAAGGUUACUGGAGUAUUGGUAAGACCAAAGAACAUGACUAAGAAUUCAGAAUGACCAUACCGGGUCCUAAAAGUUGUCUUUAGAAUGUUUUAUUCUCUGAAUCUGAGCUGAUGAUAGCCUGAUCUGAAGUCUAUUUUAGAAAAAUAGCUGGCACCCUAAAGUUGGUCCAACAAGUCAUUAAUUCUGGGAAGUGGAUAUUUGUUCUUGACCAUGACCUUAUUGAGUUGACGAUAGUCUCUCCAUAUUCUAAGAGAAACAUCUUUUUCUCUGCAUAUUAUGAGAGAACCAUCUUUCUUGUACACGAAUAAGAUUAGUGUGCCCCAAGGUGAAAUGCUGAGUCUGAUGAAUCCCUUAUCUAAGAGAUCCUUUAGCUGUUUUUUCAAUUCUUGAAGUUCUGUUGGUGCCAUUCUGUAUGGCGGGAUAGAUAUAGGCUGAGUAUCUAGAAGAAAAUUAAUGUAAAAAUCUGUUUCUCUUUUGGGAGGAAUUCCUAAAAGAUCUUCAGGAAAGACAUCUAAAUAUUCAUGCACUACUAGGACUGAUUCAAGACUGGGAGUUUCAGAACUAGUAUCCUUAACUCAAAUAAUACUAUAGGGACAUCCCUUAGAUAUCAUUUUCCAUGAUCAAAGGUAGGAAACAAGCUGACCUCUAAAGGCUGAAGUACUACCCCUCCACUCUAGGAUGGGUUCAUUUAAAAAUUGAAAUUAGACUAUUCUAUUUCUGCAGUCGACUAUGGCAUAGCAGGAAUCUUACUGAGAAUGACAUCAAAAUCAGUCAUAUCUAACUCAACUAAGUCUGCUUAAGUGACUUUCUGAGAUAUCAUAACUGAACAGUUCUUGUAUACCCAUAGGGUAUGAUGGUUUUAUUUACUGGGUAGAGACAGAGAAGGGCUUUGCUAGAUUUUAGGACUGACUCCAAAAUAACUGUUAUGUAAGUAGUAACAAAAGACAAAGAAGUUCCUGGAUCUAUCAGAGCAUAAACAUACAAGUAAAAGAACUAUAACAUACCAGUAACCACAUUAGGGGAGUUUUCCUGAUUCCUUCGGGACUGAAGAGUAUAAAUGCGGUUUGGGUGUUGCCUACUAGUAGCACUAGAGGUGGCACUCUGCUGAUUUGGGCGACCGAACUGAGCUAAGGAAUGGUUAUUCUAUCCCUGAGAACCUGGAUGAGGACAAUAUCUAACUCUGUGGCCUGGCUUGCCACAUUCAAAGCAAACAUCAUUUCCAGCUCUGCAAGUACCCUAAUGGUUCUUAACACAUGUCUGACAAAGAGGAUAGGUUCAGGCACUACUAUCACUGCCCUGUGACUUAGAUCCUGGCACUUUAUCUCUAUUGUCGUCUUUGAAUUUCGAUUCCAAAGCACUGUCUGAGGAAGGGAGCUAGAAUAGAUGACUUAGGUCAAAACUAAAAAUGAUUCCCUCUUUCUGACUUAGGCUGAGCAAAGUUGAAACUACCUGUCCUUGCUCUCUUAUUCUACUUCUCUCUCAUCUUAAUCUCAUGCUCUUGUAUCUAUUGAGCAUGGAUCAUAAGCCUGGCUAUGUCUAUCUCACUAAUUAACAUUGCAGAUCUAUACUCAUUGACCACACUAUCAUUCACCCCAGAAACAAACUUACUCAUUUUAGCCCUGCUAUCUGCCACCACAUAAAAUGCAUAUGUUGCUAAUUGAGUAAACUUAAGAAAAUACUCUUUCAAUAUUAUGUUUCCCUACCUUAGGUUGAUAAAUUUUAAUACCUUAUCUUCCCUCAGCUCUAGGGGAAAGAAUCUAUCAAGAAAAGUAGUGGUAAAAUCCUCAUACUCUAUAGGCUCUGCAUCACUAUCCCUCUCUACCUUCCAUUGCUUGAACCAUGUGUGAGACACAUCCUACAACUAAUAUGCAGCUAGAUCAACACUCUUAUUAGCAAUAACCCCAUGAUUUCUUUAACCUUCUGAACUUGAUUAAGGAAUUCCUGAGGUUCUUCAUCUAAUUUAGACCUAAAAAAAAGAAUGGAGGAUUUAUUUGGGUAAAGUCCCAAUCCUGGCUACAACUGAAUUGGCCAAUGGGUUUUUUGGAAUGGCAGUUGGUUGUUCAUUCUGGGAAGCAACUGAAUUAUUAAGUGUAGUGAAUGCAGCUCUGACUUCUGCAUGAGAAAUAUGUUUGUCCAAGGGAUCUUCUUGGACGGGCUGAGGGGCUGACUGAUUUUCAUUCCUUCUUUUGAGAGGCAUAUUUUGUAAAUGAAAAGGGAGAAAUAGAUUAGACUGAGAGUUAAAAUUGAGCUCUUGCUCACUGGCAUGACUCGAAUACUGAAAAAAGGGAAAUUGUUCUUAAAACAUCUCAUAGCCUCCUACAUAUAAAUAUGGUGUGCAACACACCCAUGCACAAGACUCUACUAGAUGUGUCUUUCAGACUUCCUAGGACUCUAUUGAACCUUAGGAUCUGAUACUAAGUUUGUAACACCCCAAAUCUGGUAUCCAGAACACUACAUGGUGCUCAUAACCUUGAAGGACCACAAGCUAACCCAUGACUGAUAUCUGUACCUGACCACUGCAUAAUAUAUUGUAAAAAUAUGCAGAAUAUAAACUGUAAGGCCAUAAUCUAAAUGAGGUAUAUAAAUAUGCAAUACUAAAUAAACUGUCUGAACAUGCUAUAAUCUGAAAAACACUAUAGUUUGAAAGCCUCUAAAACUGAUUUAUCUGAAUAAGGAGUUUAAGGGGCAGGUCCCCAACUAACUCUAAAUGGCUGAAAUAAUAAAAUAAUGAACUAAUAAAAUAAUUAUGUAAUAGCAUCCUUGAAUGAUAAGGACUCACUGCUGACUAUGACUGUUGAAGCUGGAAUACUAUUAAUGCUCUGGAGCUCCUGCAUCUGAACCUAUGGUAAUAAAACACCAUAGCGCGAAUAUGUUAGUAUGAUUAAAUGUACUAGUAUGAAAGUGAGGUAGGCUGAAUACAAAGGUUUCAUAUGCAUGAACUAUGCUAACUGACGGAAUAACAUAAGCGUGAGAAUACAUGCAUGGAUGAGACAUUGUAAUAGAAUUCAUAAAGAUACUGACUACUGAGUUUGAAUACUGACAACAUGAUUUACCGAUAACUGAUAUAACUGAUAUAAUUGAUACUGAUACUGAGUGACUGUGGUUGAUAGUCUAGGUUUAGAUGGAACUAGCUGAGUUCUAUACUAAGUUGGAUGACUGUGUCUAAUAGUCCUAAAAUCUAAAGAACUAUCUGAGUUCUUUCUGAGACUGAUACUGAGAUUGAAAUUAUGAGAAGUAGUCAUCUAUCCGACAUGCCCCAAAUAAAUUAAUAUAGCUGAGUUGGGGUCCAAUUUGUAACCCCAGUUGGAAGAGUGUCAAUACUGCGCCACUGUAGGACAAGCUGUGAGUGAUCCCUCAUCUAACAGGUACUCUAUAGAGAUCAUGGGACCCUCAUAUAACAGGUCAAUUUACCUCAUCAACCCUCAUAUAAUAGGAUAGAUGUCUCAACCUAUGGUGGCUACAUAGUUCUGGAGUGCAAGGACUGCUUCUAAGAAUCACACCCUCUAACAAUGGUGAUUUCCCAUCCUUUGGCUUACUUGGUACUGAAUCCUACUCCUAUUUGAAUAGAAACUGAACAUGAUUAACUAAACUGAGCUGGACUAAUUUUAUUGAGUUCCAUUAAUGAUGAUAGGCGAAAUUACGCGCCUAUAUCAAUAUAUUUUGCCCAUAUUUUAGCCUAGUUUCGAGAACUAAUUAUCUAUUUCGUACACUUUUAGUCCUUUUUCCUGUAAAUGAGCUAACAAAUGUGAUUAGGAAAGUUUCAGGUAUAAAUGAUGCAAAAUACAGCAAUUUAUGGCUUACUUGACGCAAAAGAAAGCUCACAAACGAGAUGGAAAGGAGCUGGACGCAUAAAGGACUAAAUCUGCUGCAUGGAAAAUCUGUCCCGGGCUAAAACAGUAUUUCUGAAGACUCUGGGACUUACAGACACAAAGCUGGAUUUUUGCCAUAAUACAUUAACCUAGUGCAAUUAGGUUAUGUGUUUCAUCAUUCUAUUUGGAUUAUAAUUUUGUAACCUUACCCUAGUACAAUUGGGUCAAGGAUUUCAUUAGUAUAUUAGGAUUUGGUUAUUUAUUUUAUUAGUUUAGUAGGAGUAGGAUAGGAGUAUUAUAAAUACCCUAUCAUGUUAGAGAUUUUCAAGAAGGGAGACAUUCUGACAAUUCAUUCAUCUCCUUACAAUUAAGACAUCUUCCUACAACCCAUUCUCAAUUCUUCAUUCUUCUACUCUUAAAUUCCACAACAAGAGAAUCGUUACUUGCUACGGAAUCACUAAAACCACACGCCAAACACCUACUAUUCACACCAUCCACCAUGCAAAGCGUGAUAUCCUUCGCAUUCAUGGGUAACUAAAUCUCUUAGUUGGGGUUAUGGAAGCCGAAUGAGUUACUAUCUAUAGCUAUGAGUUUGUGAGUUCAAGACAAGUAUAUUGCUUAUAUCAUUAUUCUCUUCAUCUUAAAUCUACAUUCUUUGCGGUUCAAACACAAGAACACGCCAUUCUAACAUCUAACCUGUUCGAGAGAAAGGUUAUUUGUCUAGAAAAGAAGACGCAUAGACCAACGCCAGUCUAACAUCUGACUUGUUCGAGAGAAAAGUUAUUUGUCUGGAAAAGAGAUAAUGUCAAGGUAGUAGGACACCCUUUCCUAUUAAAAAGCUAGUGCCGUACCUGGACUAACUUCUUGGAGAAUUCGUACCGUUAGUCACGCUUUAAGCUCGAGAGAGUUAAAGUGAAAUAGUCCUUGUUUAGGUCGAGAGACGCUUGGAUUUACCAUCGACUACAAUUCUCUAUAAGCAAUUACAUGUCAAGACUCUACACACUCAUAGCCAAUAGAGACGUAUACCUCAGAAGGUGGACAUAACCCCAACGCCUCAAUUCUCAUUGUUUACAACACACGUGACAAUCUCUCUUUAUUUUGCUAUUUUCAGUUCUUACAUUCUUGUUUUGGUUACAUACUACAAUCCCCCCUUUCCUACGAGACUUGCACUAAAAGUCUAGUAAUUUCUCUUGCUUGUUGGCCAAGCUAUUCUCUGUGGGAUCGAUACCCAACCCAGGUUGGGUUCUAUAUUUGCUAACGACCGCUUUACACUCCCACGAGAGCUGUAGAUUGAGCGUUAUCAAAAAUUGGCGCCGUUGCCGGGGAAUACGAGUGUCAAUCAAGUUCGUGAAAAUUACUAGACCCUUUGGUCAAAGAUUCUCGUACUUUUACGUUUAGUUUUUGUUUUUGUUUAUUGCAGGUUUUUCUUUUAGUGCAUGCCCCAUACUAGAAGUUCUGGUCAACCGUUAUUACCAAUCAAUCCGGAACCACAACGAAUCAGAAGAAUGGAAGCACAAGCGGAAAUCGACAGGAUGGCUGCUCAACAUGAGCAAGCAAGAUUAGCUGCUCUUGCCGCUGCUCAAGUCCAACAACAAAACAUUGAUAAUCCUGGACGAGCAACAAAUCCUGACGAUGAAGAUUUAGGAGAUGACGAGUUGAUCAACCCAAGGCAUGGCGCUGAAAUGGCAACACCUACCAACAGACGAGGUCGACAAGCUCGGUACAGAUAUGAUCGCCAACCUUUGCAACCAGCUUUCGACGAUGAUGAUGAUGAUCUUGAUGGUGCCGGAGCCACUGGAGCUAUAAUUCCACCACCAUUAGCGCCCGGAGCCAAGUUCAACAUCACUAGCACCAUGAUUCAGUUAUUGCAACUCAAGGGAUUAUUUGGUGGACUAGCAGGCGAUGAUCCGAAUAUGCAUCUCAUCAACUUUAUUUCUACAUGCAAGUCUUUUGACAAUCCUGGAGUUGGUCAGAAUGCUAUUCGAUUACGUCUAUUUCCAUUGUCUCUGUCUGGGGAGGCAACAUUAUGGUUGAAUGGGCUGACUCCUGAUUCUAUUACAAAUUGGAGGCAAUUGAGAGACGCUUUCCUAGAAAGAUUCUUUCCGCCAUCCAAGAGGGCUCAAUUGAGAGAUGAAAUCAGCAACUUUCGUCAGCUUCCCUCUGAAGCUCUUCACGAAACAUGGGAGAGGUUCAAGACAAAGCUAGCGAGAUGCCCAAACCAUCACAUGACUAAUGUUCACCUCAUGGAGAUCUUAUAUAGAGCCUUGAAUUCAGUAACUAAACCAGUGGUGGACAACGCAGCUGGAGGUUCUUUUAUGGACCUCACCUUUGGUCAAGCAAGCAACAUGCUAGAUCGUAUGACGAAACAAAGUAGAGCUUGGCAUACCAGGGAUUCUGAGGUAGCAAGCCCCACUUUAUCUAUUGGCAUGUCUGCAGAUCAAAGAAGGAGAGAAGAAGAACGUGAUCAAGAUAUGGCGCACAUGAAAACCCAAAUGGAUCUUCUUACAAAGCAUCUAUUAGGGAAGACUGAAAAAGUGAAAUCUAUUGCGUCAAAAGGAAGAGACGAAUCUGAUUCAGAAGAGGAGGCCAACUACUUGAACAAUCAGGGGGGUUUCCGUGGGAAUGCCCAAGGAAACCAAGGUCGGAACUAUUAUGACAAAUCUGGAGGUAAAGACCAAGGUAGUUGGAAGAAAAAUAAUGAAAACAGUGGUUUGUACGUUCCCCCUGGUAGACGUGAUACCACCACAUCUAAUUCUAUGGAAGACAUGAUGGCUAAGUUAUUGAAAGGAGUGGAAGCGACGAAUGCGGGAGUUAAGGAGGUGAUUGACGAUUUGGCCUCCAUGAAGCAAUUAGUUGAUUCUCAUUCCACUUCUAUCAAGCAACUAGAGCAGCAAUUCAGUCAACUUUCAGCAACACUCAACCAAAGAAAAGCCGGCACCUUGCCUAGCGAUACGGUGCAAAAUCCAAGGACUGAUGGGUCAUGCAUGGCCAUCACUACGAGGAGUGGUAAGGUGCUGGAAACUUCAGCAGAAGGCAAGCAAAUAGUUGACAGAACAGCAGACACAACCGCCACACCUAGUGACGCCACUAGGGAAGACGCCGCAAUAUCCACUUCCAACGUCAAGGACGUGUUGCCUAGUGACGUGCAGCCUGAAAAAAGUAAUAAACGGAAGCAAGAGGAGAAGAAAGCCAUGGAAAGAACACUUCCAUACCCACCACCACCUUUUCCACAAAGACUGAAGAAGGCGGCCGAUGACACUAAGUUCAGCAAGUUCAUGACCAUCUUGAAGCAGCUGACUAUUAAUGUCCCAUUGGUAGAGGCACUUGAACAAAUGCCUGGGUAUGCGAAGUUUAUGAAAGAUCUUUUGACUAAGAAGAGGGCAGCAAGCUAUGAGCUGAAAGAAGAUGUGCAUCAUUGUAGUGCAAUAGCUACCCGAUCCAUAGUUCAGAAGAAGGCCGACCCCGGAGCUUUCACUAUUCCUUGCACCGUCGGAUCUUUGGACUUUGCUAAAGCAUUAUGUGACUUAGGAGCCAGCAUCAACUUGAUGCCAUUAUCAAUCUACAAGAAGUUGGGGUUGGGAGAUCCUACACCAACUAAUAUGAAGCUUGUUAUGGCGGAUAGGUCGGUAAAACGACCGGUUGGUAUUCUAUGCGAUGUCUUGGUGAAGGUAUCUUCAUUCAUAUUUCCAGCAGACUUUGUCAUCUUGGAUUGCGAAGCAGAUUCAGAGGUUCCCAUAAUCUUGGGACGCCCUUUCCUUGCUACGGGAAGUGUGCUCAUAGAUUUGAGAGCUAAUGAACUUUCAUUCCGAAUAAAUGAUGAAGUGGUGCGCUUUGAUGUUUGCAAAUCAAUGAAGCAACCCAAAGAUCUAAGUGUAUUUUCUGUGACUGAUGUUGUCGUUGAUGACGAGGAUGAGUUACUUGCUGAAGAACAAAUUCUUGAUGAUCCUUUGGAGGUUUUGCUCAUGGAAGAAGAUGAUGAUGAUGCUGAAAUUUCUGAAGAUGAUAUUUGUGCUCUAUCGGGAUUAGGAGCAUAUCGCUAUCCUCCUAAGAAGCUGGAUAUUGAUCUCAAGAAUCGACCCACACCACCAGCUAAGCCAUCUAUUGAAGAACCACCCACAUUAGAAUUAAAGGAGCUGCCAAGCCAUUUGAAGUAUGCAUUCUUAGGAAGCGGAAACACUCUUCCAGUCAUAGUGGCAGCCGAUUUAGGUGAGCAACAAGUUGCAGCUCUUAUUGCAAUUUUACGCAAGUAUAUUAGAGCUAUUGGAUGGACCAUUGCGGAUAUCCUUGGUAUUCCACCUGGAAUUUGCACUCAUAAAAUUCAGCUCCAAGAAAAGUGCACACCCACCAUCGAACACCAAAGACGUCUAAACCCACCAAUGCAAGAGGUGGUGAAGAAGGAGAUUAUCAAGUGGUUAGACGCAGGAGUUGUGUAUCCUAUUUCUGAUAGUACAUGGGUAAGCCCAGUACAAUGUGUUCCCAAGAAAGGAGGUAUGACGGUGGUUGCGAAUGCAAAGAAUGAGCUUAUUCCACUCAGGCCCGUCACUGGAUGGAGAGUAUGCAUGGACUACCGCAAGCUGAAUUCUUGGACUCUCAAGGAUCACUUCCCCAUGCCAUUUAUGGACCAAAUGCUAGAUCGAUUAGCGGGAAAAGGAUGGUUUUGCUUUCUUGAUGGUUAUUCAGGUUAUAAUCAGAUUUUUAUUGCACCAGAAGACCAAGAGAAGACAACGUUUACAUGCCCAUAUGGUACGUUUGCCUUCAAACGUAUGCCAUUCGGGUUAUGUAAUGCACCAGCCACCUUUCAGCGAUGUAUGAUGUCUAUUUUCUCUGAUAUGGUAGAAGACACUUUGGAGGUAUUUAUGGACGACUUUUCAGUUGUUGGGGAGUCUUUCGAAGCAUGUUUGGUGAAUUUAAGCAUGGCAUUACAAAGAUGUGUAGAGUUCAACCUUGUGCUGAAUUGGGAGAAGUGCCACUUCAUGGUAAAAGAAGGAAUUGUUCUUGGGCACAAGAUCUCCGAAAAAGGAAUAGAGGUUGAUCGCGCCAAAAUAGAGGUAAUUGAGAAGCUACCACCUCCAAUUUCGGUGAAGGGAGUUCGUAGUUUUCUUGGCCAUGCUGGGUUUUAUCGUAGAUUCAUCAAAGACUUCUCCAAAAUUUCUAGUCCAUUAUGCAAGCUAUUGGAGAAAGAUGCGAAGUUUGACUUUAAUGAUGAUUGCUUAAAGGCAUUUGAAUGCCUUAAAGAAAAACUCGUUGAAGCCCCUAUCAUGGUAACACCAGAUUGGACGCUCCCGUUCGAAGUCAUGUGUGAUGCUAGUGGUGUAGCCGUUGGUGCUGUUCUUGGACAGAGAAAGGAGAAAUUAUUUCAUCCUAUCUACUAUGCGAGUAAGGUCCUCAAUGAAGCCCAAAGGAACUACACCGUCACUGAACAAGAGCUAUUAGCGGUUGUGUAUGCGUUUGAGAAGUUCCGCGCCUACCUAUUAGGUACUAAAGUGAUCGUUCAUACAGACCAUGCAGCUCUUAGGUAUCUAAUGACAAAGAAGGAUGCAAAACCAAGGCUGAUUCGAUGGGUGUUGCUGCUGCAAGAGUUUGAUUUCGAAGUCAAAGAUAGAAGAGGUUGCGAGAACCAAGUGGCUGAUCACCUAUCUAGACUUGAGAAUGAGUAUGUGGCGCAAUCAGAAAAUCAGAUUGGCGAUGCAUUCCCUGACGAGGAGAUAUUAGCGACAACAAUAGAAGACUUACCAUGGUAUGCCGACUUUGCGAAUUUCGUGGUGAGUAAUGUGUUACCUACAAAUUUAUCUUACCACCAGAGGAGGAAGUUUAUGCAUGACGUUCAGCACUAUUAUUGGGAUGAGCCUUAUUUGUUUCGAAGAUGUGCGGAUGGUAUCAUUCGACGAUGUAUAUCCCAUGACGAAGUGCCCACUAUAUUAGAAGCAUGCCACACUUCGCAAGUUGGAGGACAUCAUGCGGGUAAUCGAACAGCAAGAAAAGUCUUGCAAAGUGGUUAUUAUUGGCCUACAAUAUUCAGAGAUGCACACGACUAUGUGAGAAGGUGUGACCAAUGCCAACGUCAAGGUGUUAUUUCAAAACACCAUGAAAUGCCCAUGUCCACAAUCCUGGAGGUAGAACUCUUUGAUGUAUGGGGUAUUGAUUUCAUGGGACCAUUCGUAAAUUCGUUUGGAAUGAAGUACAUCUUGGUUGCUGUGGAUUAUGUGUCGAAAUGGGUUGAAGCUGUAGCAUUGGCCGAUAAUGAAGGAAAGCGUGUUGUAGCGUUUUUAAAGAAGAAUAUCUUCUCUCGCUUUGGGGUACCUCGUACUAUCAUAAGUGAUGGAGGAUCUCACUUCUGCAACAAGCUAUUCAAAUCUGUAUUGGCCAAGUAUGGAGUCAAGCAACACAAGGUAGCUACGCCUUAUCAUCCCCAAACUAGUGGACAAGUAGAGGUUUCCAAUCGGGAGAUCAAGCAAAUCCUUGCCAAGACGGUCAAUGCGAAUCGGAAGGAUUGGUCUCGGAAGCUAGAUGAUGCACUAUGGGCGUAUAGGACUGCAUUCAAGACACCCAUUGGCAUGUCACCUUAUCAGCUAGUUUAUGGGAAGGCUUGUCAUCUACCCAUCGAGCUUGAAUACAAGGCAUUAUGGGCAUUGAAGCACUUGAAUCUGAAUUGGGAUGAUGUGAAGAACCUGAGGUUGGAGCAGCUGAACGAGCUAGAUGAAUUCCGUCUCCAUGCUUAUGAAAGAUCAGAUUUAUACAAGGAGCGGAUGAAGAAGUAUCACGAUCAGCGGAUUGUUCGACGACACUUCCAAAAAGGUGACAUGGUGCUACUCUUUAACUCCAGAUUCAAGCUCUUCCCAGGUAAGUUAAAAUCAAAGUGGUCUGGUCCAUUUAAAGUCACCCACGUCUACUCGUUUGGAGUAGUCGAAUUGGAAAAUAAUGAGGGUGUUAUCUUCAAGGUGAAUGGCCAACGUGUUAAGCCAUAUAUCGGUCCUCUUGACUCGAUAAAUGACAUGGCCAUCACUUAUCUCGACGAAGUCUAAGUACUCGAGAUUACUACGUCGAGCCACGACAAUAAAUAAGGCGCUAGAUGGGAGGCAACCCUUCGUUUUAUUGUUUUAUCGUUUUGUCGUUUUAGUAUUUUUUCUUUUUGAUAAAUGAAAAUCCAAAAAUAAGAGUCGUGCCACGACCAAAACUAAGGCGCUUGGUGGGAGGCAACCCAUCGUACUAAUCGUUUUCAUUUGUUUGAGCAAAUAUAGGUGUAAGAAGUAUGCAACGAGGAGAUUGAUUUCAAUUGACGAUUUGGUCGCGUCGUAUGGUAAAGGCGGUAAGUUAGGAAUGGUGAUGCAUAAGGCUAUGAAUUGAGCCUUUCUCACGUCAUAAUAGGCUUCGAGGAAGGCUAGGCCUUGGUAAAAAUAGGCCACGAACGAUGCACAACCUAUUCUAUAGCCUAAGGACUCGGAAUCUAGUGUGCUAUACCCUAUGCGCCGCCUAUUCCUAGGUGUGCUUUUGACUAUGCGCCGCCUAUGUCCCAUUAUGCCAUGGACAAUGCGCCGCAUAUACAUGUGAUAUGCCGAGGGAUAUGCGCCGCAUAUAGGGUGAUUUUGUCCCCAAAUCCGAUUGUAAAUGGGUCAUAACCCGACCCAUACUCCUCCUAUAUAAAGGGGACUUGUUUUUAUUUCACAAACACAUUAGAAUCAACCCUAAAGGCGCCGCAUAUCAUCCCAAAUCCUCUCAAAUUUUUCUUCCUUUGUUCUUCCAAUCCACAACAACUUCUCCACAAUCUUCAAGCAAGUAAGUGCUCUCUUAUUCUUCAUCUAUUUAUCAUGAGUACUACUUUACUAUGCUUAUUAUUAAAUGCUAAAUCACGUGAGAUUAGUGGUGAUGUUCAUGUGCUUGGAUAAUUGUUGCAAAAAUCGUAUGAUUGAAUGAAUACGAAUGCAAUUCUUGACUUGUUUCCGACUUGAAUUUUGUUUCAAUGGCAUUGUUAUGAUACUUGCUGAACAUAUAUGGCUAUGAAUAUUGCUUGAAAGUGUUGUUUGGAUGCUUGCAUGAUUCACCACCCCGGCCAUCGGGAUACGGUUAUAGUGACUAUCCACGUAGGAGGUAGUGUUGGUUGUUCGAAUAGCAAUUCCAUGUGGUAACUCCUAUGUUAUAGUAUCGCUAUAUGCACCAUGAAAGACGUCCAAAUGGCUGUUCAUAAGUGAUGUCAUGCUGAUUUUCUUGUCGGAAUACAAUCCGAGGACGUAUGUCGACGAAGUCUGAGUACUCGACCACUUUCACUUCACUGAUUUUUGCUAACAAGAUUAAGUGUGGGGUGGUACCCCUAAUGCUUGCAUAUAGAAUUGUCUAAAGUGCGAUUGUGCCGCAUCUAACAUUAUUUCUAGUCUCAGGUACAAUGGCACCGAAAGCAAGGCAAGGCAAGGAGAAGGCUACCACAACCCGCAAGGACAAAAAGAGAAGCCGAAAAGACCAAGGCGAAUCAUCUUCCGCACACCUACCACGCAGAAUGUUCGGAAUCAAAUGGGUUCUUGAGGAAGAAGCCAAGGCAUGGUACAGCAGCAACAAAGAAAAGAAAUAUGUGCACGUCGACUUAAUCAAUAAGGAGACCUUAGCAAAGAAGGAGCCGCAAAUGUUGGCUAAGAUUAUGGCUUUGAAGCUGGAUUUCAUCUUCCGUGACAUGGGAGAGUGCAAUCUUGACUUGACAAGAGAGUUUUAUGCCAACUGGUCGCCAAACACAACAGGCAACGAAGUCAAAAUUCGGGGCCAAGUGUUACAGCUUACAGCGGAUUGGAUCAACUCGUUUCUAGGCCUACCUUCGGUCGACACUGCACCAUACAAAGAGCUGUACAGCAGACCUCCUUACAGAGCUAUAAGACACACGCUUUGUGGAAGCAGAUCGAUGGCGAGAUGGGGCAGACAUAAGGAAACAGGCCGUCACAACACAUUCCCCUAUGCUCCACUAAAUAGGGAAGCAAGAAUCUGGAUGCGCAUUGUCAACUCAUGCCUCAUUCCUGGGACGCAAUACACAAAGAUAUCGAGAGAUAGAGUGUGCCUGGUUUAUUCAUUAAUGACGAAUGUCCCUAUCAACUUUGGGGCAAUCAUUCGAUCCACCAUGAGGAAAGCCAGACUCCACAGCAGGUCCUAUUUCACAUUCGGCAAUUUGUUGACAGCAAUGUUGCGGAAGGAGGAUAUAGAAGAGGAACCAGCUGACCACAAACUCCCACAUACCCCAAAGAAGGUUGACCUCACCAAGGUCAAAGAUGCUGAAACAACGCAUGGAGUCAACCUUACCACUGCGGAGAGACAUGCUCGUGACGAGAGUUUCUUCCGUCAUCUCUAUGGCAUGACGAGAUUCACUAUGAUGAGUGGUGGACGUAUUCCAACUGCUGAAGAGCUCCAACAGCUGGACCACGACUACCCAAUGAACAGACAUGCCCGGGAGAUGUGUGGAGUGGGAGUAUAUUUCGAGGAACCUCUUGAUGAUGACGUGCCAACUGAUGAUGAUAGACGCUUGCCUGAUUCUGAUGCUGAGGAGAACUCUGACGAUGACUCUUACGAUGACUCGAACGAAGGGGGUAUGACAUUGAGGAAGAGUCCGACUAAUCAGGUUCUUCGACUUUAUUUUCCACUGAGGGCAGUGUCUAGUCUAAGUGUGGGGUGUCGGCAGAAUCUGCAUGCUAUAUUUGUAUGUUUGCUUGUUUAUUUUGUUUUAUUUAUUUUGUUUUGAGUCCGAUUUUUUUUGUGAUUUUUUUCGUGUGACGUUUUUUUUUAGUUUUUAGUAGUUAAAAUUUUUCUAGCCUCGCAUGAAAUUAUUUUAAUAGGCAGCAUGAGAUUAUAACAAUAGUAUGUAUUACAAUUGUGACUAUUGAGACAUUUAGGCUCUAGUUGUGACUCAUUAUGUGAUAGUGUGUGAUUCAAUUCCUUCACUUGUUGGGUUGAGAGUCUAUAUUGCUACCAAUCAAGUCGACCAUGUGCCUUGUGUGUGUGAGAUAAUAGUAUAUUCUAUGUAUGUGGCUGAUGCUAGAACUUGCCUGGUAUGUAUGCAAAGCGAAAAUAAGGAGUGUAAGUUUAGGAUAUGAUUUAGGCAUUUCUUUGGCAACCUAUAUUUGUUUACCUUCAGUUUUACCUACCCAUGGACAUCAUCCUAGUUAAACCCUUUUGAGCCUUUAGCCUAUUUCUUUGACAACCUUGUAUGUAAGCCUAAUUCAUUUUUUUUCAAGACCGUAAUUUGAUCCAAAUUCCUAAGUGCUUUAAAGUAAAAAAGUCAUGUGACAACAUAAGAGGAAAUUGGUUGAGUAUGAUGCUUUAAAUUGUAAUGGUGCUUGAAUAUGUUAUGAAAAAGAAAGUGCUAUCAUAAGAGGUAUGUUGUGAGAAGAAAAAGGAAAAGAAAGCUGAAAAGUGAGUUGUGCUUUAAAAUUGAAAAACAAAAGAGGAGAACAAGGGUGCUACAAAAAAAGUGUCAAUAAUACAAUGUGAUGUAUUAAAGUGCUUAGGAACUUAGUCACUAUUUCUGGCCAAAAUAGUUGAUCCUACCCGUCCCUUAGCCUACAUUACAACCAUCAAAAGACCUACUUGAUCCUAACCUUAACAUUCCGACAUUUAGUGGAGUACUACAUUAAGGGCAAGCCUAUGGUCAUUAGCUGCUACAUAUGAAUUCUUUGUGAGAGUGAGCGCAAGGAUACUUUGCUGCCCAUGUUUGAAAAAUAUGCUAUACUUGUGAGUGAUUAUGGGUACUAUAUUGUGAGACACACAUGGUUGAUGAGUUUUGGAUAGUUGUAUAUGAUUCUAUGUACCUUAAACGUUUGCAUGCGAGUUGAUCACCAUCACGAGUCUAUGCUUGAGGUUAAAUUGUUUCUACUUAUAAUCGGAAAGCUACUCUUCGUUGAUAAUUGUUGUGCUUGUCUUGAAGAAUGUUUUGUGUUGUUUCUGUAAAAACCUUAAGUCAAUGCUUAGAAGGACAUGAUAUGUUGUUCGAGGACGAACAAAGCUCUAAGUGUGGGGUGUUGAUGAUAGGCGAAAUUACGCGCCUAUAUCAAUAUAUUUUGCCCAUAUUUUAGCCUAGUUUCGAGAACUAAUUAUCUAUUUCGUACACUUUUAGUCCUUUUUCCUGUAAAUGAGCUAACAAAUGUGAUUAGGAAAGUUUCAGGUAUAAAUGAUGCAAAAUACAGCAAUUUAUGGCUUACUUGACGCAAAAGAAAGCUCACAAACGAGAUGGAAAGGAGCUGGACGCAUAAAGGACUAAAUCUGCUGCAUGGAAAAUCUGUCCCGGGCUAAAACAGCAUUUCUGAAGACUUUGGGACUUACAGACACAAAGCUGGAUUUUUGCCAUAAUACAUUAACCUAGUGCAAUUAGGUUAUGUGUUUCAUCAUUCUAUUUGGAUUAUAAUUUUGUAACCUUACCCUAGUACAAUUGGGUCAAGGAUUUCAUUAGUAUAUUAGGAUUUGGUUAUUUAUUUUAUUAGUUUAGUAGGAGUAGGAUAGGAGUAUUAUAAAUACCCUAUCAUGUUAGAGAUUUUCAAGAAGGGAGACAUUCUGACAAUUCAUUCAUCUCCUUACAAUUAAGACAUCUUCCUACAACCCAUUCUCAAUUCUUCAUUCUUCUACUCUUAAAUUCCACAACAAGAGAAUCGUUACUUGCUACGGAAUCACUAAAACCACACGCCAAACACCUACUAUUCACGCCAUCCACCAUGCAAAACGUGAUAUCCUUCGCAUUCAUGGGUAACUAAAUCUCUUAGUUGGGGUUAUGGAAGCCGAAUGAGUUACUAUCUAUAGCUAUGAGUUUGUGAGUUCAAGACAAGUAUAUUGCUUAUAUCAUUAUUCUCUUCAUCUUAAAUCUACAUUCUUUGCGGUUCAAACACAAGAACACGCCAUUCUAACAUCUAACCUGUUCGAGAGAAAGGUUAUUUGUCUAGAAAAGAAGACGCAUAGACCAACGCCAGUCUAACAUCUGACUUGUUCGAGAGAAAAGUUAUUUGUCUGGAAAAGAGAUAAUGUCAAGGUAGUAGGACACCCUUUCCUAUUAAAAAGCUAGUGCCGUACCUGGACUAACUUCUUGGAGAAUUCGUACCGUUAGUCACGCUUUAAGCUCGAGAGAGUUAAAGUGAAAUAGUCCUUGUUUAGGUCGAGAGACGCUUGGAUUUACCAUCGACUACAAUUCUCUAUAAGCAAUUACAUGUCAAGACUCUACACACUCAUAGCCAAUAGAGACGUAUACCUCAGAAGGUGGACAUAACCCCAACGCCUCAAUUCUCAUUGUUUACAACACACGUGACAAUCUCUCUUUAUUUUGCUAUUUUCAGUUCUUACAUUCUUGUUUUGGUUACAUACUACAAUCCCCCCUUUCCUACGAGACUUGCACUAAAAGUCUAGUAAUUUCUCUUGCUUGUUGGCCAAGCUAUUCUCUGUGGGAUCGAUACCCAACCCAGGUUGGGUUCUAUAUUUGCUAACGACCGCUUUACACUCCCACGAGAGCUGUAGAUUGAGCGUUAUCAAUUAACUGACGGAAUGCUACUGAGAUUAGUGAAUUACUGAGCUUUUUGAGAUUGCUGAGAUUACUGAGUUUACUGAGUUUUCCUGAGUCACAUCACUGACUAUGAGUAUCUUGAAAGCAUGACACUAGCUCUAGGCACACAGCUAAAUUUUUGAGUACAAGUAACCCUAGAACUCGAUAGAAGGAAACUGACAAAGCAUGACACUUCUUGAACAUAUGAGCAAUACCAACAAUCCGUACUACAAUAAUUUAGGGACUUCAUGAGGCACAUGGUUAUCAUAGUUUGGUACGUGAAUAGGAUUGCAUGUAAACAUGGCAUAAUUUCAUAAGGCUAAUUCAUGAGCAGCCCAAUGAACAAUUUCAAUACAUAAGAAUAACAUGGAGCCACUUUUAACAUAAGAGAAUAACAUGCAUUUACCAUUUAGGUCAUAAUUGAACUAGCAUGCAUAAUUCCUAUCCUCGUAGGGAUUUUACUAAACACCUUGCAUGCACCAUUUAGGGAAUAGGUAUGGUUAUCAAUUAGUACAACAUGAUUCCAUAAUUCAACCUAAAUUUCAUAAUUUCAACUCACAUACUAGCAUAAUUUCAUGAAAACAUAAUAAAAAUUCUAUCUUGGAAAUCACACAUCAAUAACAACAUGAACAUAAUCCAACUCAUCACAUGGAAUUUAUAAUUCAAUUUUUGAAAGAGGAUUCUUGAUAUUCAUGGAUGAAAGAAAUCCAUGAAUAAACACUAUGCAUACCUUAGUUCUUGAUUCUACAAAGAUUGACGGUAGAACUUUCUUAAAUUUGAAUCCCUAAUUGAAAACCCUAACUUAUUCUUGAGAGUUUUUGAGAGAAAAGAGUAUAUUUUGGCUUCAAAAUGGAUGAAUCUCGUGUUUAAGGGCUUAUAUAGGGAUAUAAAAAUGACCAUUUUUCCCUUCAAAGUUCGAGGCUGAAGUGUUGGAAAUUGGCCCAACGGGAAUACCCAGGGCGGUGCCCUGCCUAGACCCCCAGAGAACCUAGGGCGACGCCCUGCUUAGAGCGGUGGUCUAAGCUGAGGGGAGCAGGCUAAAUUCCUUUAGCUACUGGUUUGGGCACCCAAACAUUCCCUCUAUUCCAGAAAUUCUGAAACUCACCCGGAAUAUACUAUUGACUUACCCCAUCGUAAUGCAACUUGAAAAUUAAAAUAGAGGUUGGGAAGGUCGUGAAAUAGUUCCCCAAAGUUUGAAAGCUUAAAAUAAGACUAAGUGUAAAACACUUAGCUAAAAUAUUCUAAGUGUUGGAUCUCUCAUAGAGCUUAAGGGGCGGGGUCUUACACUGGCUAACUGAGUAAACUUAAGAGAGUAUUCUUUUACACUCAUGCUACCCUGUCUGAGGUUGAUGAACUCUAACACUUUGGCUUCUUUCUUAUCUUGGAGAAAUAAUCUAUCUAAGAAGGUUUUAGCAAACUCUUCCCAUUCUAUGGGCUCUACAUUUGUACCCCUAUCUACUUUCCACUUCAUAAACCACGUAUGGGCUACAUCUUGUAGCUGAUAGGUGUCUAACUCAACACUCUCACUAGAAGUCACUCCCAUAAUAUCUGUGACUUUCUGAACUUGGUAGUAGAAAUCCUAUGGAUCCUCUUUGGACUUAGAACCUGAGAAUAGGGGAGGAUUCAUUUGGGUAAAGUCCCAAAUCUUGGCUGUAGCAGAAUUGCCACUGGGCUGGCCGAAACUGUAGUUGGUCGUUCAUUCUGAGCUGUGACUAAAUUAGCUAGAGUAGUAAAUAUAGUACUAAAUUUUGCAUGGGAAACAUGCUCGUUCAGAGGAUCUGCCUAUACGGGCUGAGGUGUUGACUGAUUCUAAGUUCUUCUUUCGUUAGACCUUUUGGGAGGCAUGUUCUGUAGAAGAAAAGGAGAAAUAGAUUAGACUGGGAGUUAAUUUGAGCCCAUGGUCACUGGCACAAUAUGAAUACUGAAAGAAGGGAAACUUUUCCACAUCUUAUAGACUCUUGUACAUAAAUGUGGGGCGCGCAAAACACCCAUGCACAAGACUCUACUAGAUGUGGCUUUUCAGACUUCCUAGGACACUAUUGAACCUAUCUGUAAUACCAAGUUUAUAAUGUCCUGAUCCUGGUUCCCCAAACUCUACACGGUGCUAACAAUCCUGAAGGACCACUAUCUAACCCAUGAUUUGUACCUACUACAAUAACUAUAUAAUAGUAUUGAAAUAUGCAAAAACAAUGGGCCGAAAUUCCAUAAAGUUCAAAAUUGUAUCAUACUGAAUAAAAUAAUGUCUGAAUGAUGUAUAAAAUACCCAAAACUAUGAUAAACUGUCUAAACAUAUUGUAGUUUGAAAGCCUCUACUACUGAACUAUCUGAAUAAGGAGUUGAUGGUACAUAUCCCCAACUAACUCCAACUAUUGAAAUAACUAAGUACUGAAAUACUGAAAGAAUGAAAUAAUCACAUCCUCGAACUAUGAGGACUCACCACUAAAUCUGUCUGCUGAAUCCUGAGCUGAUAAGCUCGAUC